CAAGGCUUCAAGUUUUUACAAUUGACUUCCAAGGUGUCAAUGAACCUUUACAACUAAGAGAUUAUCUCCCCAAUCUCUUCACCCCAAGUGUUUCCCACACUUAAACACUCACAAUUUGGUAAGGAAUGAAAAUUACAACAAAAACUCUCUUUAAGAGUUGAUAUGUAACUAAUAGCUCAACAAUGAUUCAAUCAAUAAUGAUUUGCGUCUUGGAAGCUCAAUAUAUGUUGUAUGAUCUUAUAUUUGCAUGUAUUGGUACUUAAAAUGAAGUUUGAGUUGAGUUUUUAUAGUGGAAGCCCAAAAACUAGCCGUUAUAGGCAAAUUCCAGCGCUCAAGCGGUUAGCCGCUUGAUUUAUCCGGCUAGCCGCUCAGGAACAGUAAUAUUACCGUUAUUUUUGAAUUUGCUACAGUAACACUGUUCAUUGAAAUUACACUUUGGCCCAAAACUUUCUAUAAUUAUAAUAUGGCCCAAAACGUCAGAAAAAUUUGCAAAUAGGUCCAAUUUCAGAACUUCUCAAGAAUAGUCCCAAACUUUUUAAAAUUAUGAUAUGGCCCCAAAGAUUUUAUUGUUUCGCACAAAGGUCCUUUUCAACAUAAUACCCAUAUUUUUCAAAGUUCUCAAAAUCUUUCACUUUAGUUCAAAAUAUUCAUAAAUUAUAGUAUGACCCAAAAUAUUUAAAAUGUUUGAAAAAACAUCCAACUCCGAAAUUUGAUACUUAUUAAAAUCAAAGAUUUCAAAUCUUAGCAUUUAAGUCCAAUUUACUUAAAUCCACAAAAUACUUUACUUUAUAAAAAUAAAAUAUUUUAGUUUAUGAAAAGUAUUUAAUUAAAUUAAUUUCUUGAGCUUCUCAAAUGCUAAAUCAUGCAUCAAUUAAAUCAUACCGGCUUUACAAGAAUUUUUCGCAAUAAUUCGUCCGUUGAGCUCUAAGCUUUAUUCUUGAUUUCGCCGUUGUCCGUUGAGUGUCUUCAAUCUUGAUUUCACUUGAUUCACUUGCAUAAAUAUUAUCCUUCAAAAACUAGUGUAAAUGUGAAAUACAAUAUUUAUUAUUUUUACUUAAGACACAUGUUUGUUAUCAUCAAAAUUACAUUAUGUGUAGCCCUUUAGGCUAACACUUUGCACUCAAGCCUAUAAAUAGGGGUGAGCCCCCUCAUUUGCCCAACAACCACACCACACACACAAACACUCAAGCACACACACAAGCUCUCUAGCUCUCUUAUAAAGUUCUCUUGUAAUAUAUUCUUUAGUGUGUAAUAAAAUAUAUUUUGGCCACAUUACUCUAUUCUCUCUAGCAUUUUUCGCAAAGCAUUUUUGCUUGGCUAGUUGAAAAGUUCGAAAAGGCUUACUUAGCGACUUGUGUGCUAGAAGUCACCUAAGUGUCGCAUGGGUUUGUUGCGUAAAACUCCCAUCCCAUGACAUAGGGCUAUCUAUUUUAGAAUGAACAUUAGAAGUCGAAGGUAAAAUGGCUUCAUUCAUGUCAUUCUCUUUUUCCCGAUUGGGUUUAAAAGUGAUCACCGUGUGUUUUUUGGGGUCGAGGCUUGGAGGGGCAGAGGUGGGAAUAAGUUUUUUGGUUCGAGAUUGUGCAUGACAAUUAGGAUCACGUGUGGUGGCUAUAUGUUGCUGAGGGCUUUAGGGGAUGUGGUAAUUACAUGGGUUGAAAAGUUAGUAAACCUAUUGACGCUUCUUUUGUAUGGAAAUCGAAUUGGCGGGUUUAAGAGAAGCUUUUGAAGUUUUGGGUAAUGGGAUCAUUUUUCCAUGGCUUUUUCUAGGUUUAUCAUUUGGGAUUUAAAGGUUACAACUGGAGUUUCAUCAUUUGAAGUAGUUACAAUGGCUGCUUCAUUAAAUUCCCCUGCAUCAGACGAAUCAGCGUUGUUUGGCAGGAUAAAAAACCACAAUCCUGUCUUUUUUAGAUUACAAUUUUGUCCUUGAUUGGAAUUUCUUUCCAUAUUCCUCCUCGAUCUAAACCUUUUGGCAACCACCAUCUAGGAGUCGUACUUUAGACUGCUGACAUAAAUUUUUUCCAGCAACGAUACCCUCUUGUUGGACUUAUCUUCACCACCAUCCUUUGUUUAAGUUUCUUACAUUUCAUUUUCUUCAAUCUCUGGGCAUGAACUUUUCAGAUGACCAUAUUUGCCACAAUGAAAGCAGAUUUUCGUAUUCCAUUCUUUGGAUUUUUCCAUUUAAAAAAAACUGUGAAAAAAGUGGCUUAUUGAAGGAUAACACCACAGUAAUUCUUGCAAAAUUUUCCUUAGAUAUUGAUUUUGUGUUGUAAUCUAUUCUAAUGACAUUUCUAAUUUAAUGGCCAAGCAUUCUAAAAAAUGAAGGGCCAUGCUAGGUAAACAAACCUGGGCCACAAUAGAAUCAAUCAUUUCCGAAGAGGCAUCAAUAUGCGGUGACCAUUUUUGAACAGUUGAACAGUGUCCCAGUGCAAGGUACAAUUUUCACACUUAAAUAUAAUAAAUUUUAUUUUAAGUUAACAAACUCCCUUAAGUAUUAAAAUAAUAAUAAUAUAAAAUAUUUAAUUCUAAGCAAUGAUGACAUAAGUAAUGAUGACAUAAGUGAUGAUGUAAGAGAAGUAUGUAGAGAAAGUUAAGAAUUCUAGAAUUUGGUAAGUUAUUUAUGAAGGUUAAUCUCAACCAUUGAUCAAGAUUUAUGGUGGCAAAAUCCUAACCAUCCAUUAGCCCUAAGAUAUCCUAUAAAUACCCCUUACCCCCUUUCAUUUUCAAUCCAACCUAAAAAUUCCAUUCUCUUCUAAGUCAUAAUAUCAAGAGUAGAGAAAUCCUUAAUUUAGAAAGGUCUUGAGAAGUCAAGGUCAAGAGGUAAGUAACACUUCAACUGCAAUGUAAGGACAAGAUUCUUUUCAUAUUUAACUUCAAUUUUAACCAUUCCUUUAUAUUGUGAUGGUUAUUAUGAUGUGAUUAGUUAUAAUCUAAAUUCUUAUAUGGUCGGCUAUGCCGCCUAAACUGUGAUACUUAAUCAUGUUAUGGUCGGCUUUGCCGCCUAAAUUAUGAUACUUAGUUACGUUAUGGUCGGCUCUACCGCCUAAACUAUGAUACUUAGUUACGUUAUUGUCGGCUCUACCGCCUAAACUAUGAUACUUAGUUACGUUAUGGUCGGCUCUAUCGCCUAACCUGUGAUAGUUAAUUAUGUUAUGAUCGGCUCUGCCGCCUAAUCUAUGAUACCUAGUUAUGUUAUGGUCGGCUCUGCCGCUUAAUCUGUGAUACUUAUACUUAAUUAUGCCAUGGUCGGCUAUACUGCCUGUAUUAAAGAAUCUUGUUAUUAAAUAAUGUUGUGUGUUGAUUCUGUUAUGCAUCUAGGAACUUCAAAUGUUAUGACAUAAGUUGCAUUGGAUACAUGCAUAUCAUGGAUUACAUUAUGAAGAAGAUGUUUCAGAAAAUGAAUUUAUGAAAAAUAGGUGGUUGUACUACCAAGUGGCAAAGUUUCUAAGGAGGGCAAGCCAUCAAAGCUAAGUAAAAAGAAAUCUUUUGGGGACAGCGAUACGUAACACCCAAAAGAUCAACUAAUGAGGCCUUUUAGUGUUAUGGUACCAUCUGGUGAAAUAUUAAACUCAUGACAAUUAGUUAAGGCAUGUGAGGUUAGCAUUAGUGGUAAUACACUAUGUGUUGACCUAAUAAUCCUCGAAAUGCAUGACUAUGACGUAAUUCUUGGCAUGGAUUGGCUAUCAAAGCACUAUGCCAAGAUAGAUUGCAAGAAAAAAGAGGUAAUUUUUUUACCACCACAAAAGGAAUCAUUUACAUUUAAAGGAGAAUGCAAAGAGAACAGAAUGUCUAUCAUCUAUACCUUGAAAGCAGCCAGACUAUUACAUGGAGAAUGUGGGGGGUACUUGGCAAGUGUGGUCAUCGAAACAGAAGAGCAAAGACCAAAGUUGGAAGAUAUUCCAGUGAUGAACGAAUUUCAUGAGGUCUUUUCUGAAGAACUCCCAGGAUUGCCAUCGGAUCGAAAAAUUGAAUUCAAAAUUGAUUUGCUACUAAGAACUGGUCCAAUUUCAAUUACGCCCUAUAAGAUGGCCCCACCAGAAUUAAAGGAGUUAAAGAGUCAAUUGCAUGAUUUAUUAGACAAAGGCUACAUACGCAAUCAUUCACUAUGGGAAGCACUAGUACUAUUCAUAAAAAAGAAGGAUGGAUCAAUGAGAAUGUCAUCGACUAUCGAGAGCUAAAUAAGGUGACUAUCAAUAACAAGUACCCACUUCCCCACAUCAAUGACUUGUUUGAUCAGCUACAAGGAGCAUAAGUAUUUUGAAAGAUUGAUCUACGAUCAAAAUAUCACCAGUUGAGAAUUAGAGAAGAAGAUAUUUCUAAAACAACAUUCAGAACACGUUAUGGACACUAUGAGUUUGUCGUCAUGCCAUUUGGUCUAACUAAUGCCCCAACAGCCUUCAUGGACCUUAUGAACAUCGUAUUUAAAGACUACCUAUACAAAUUCAUAGUGGUGUUCAUCGACGAUAUUUUGGUCUACUCACGAUCAAAGAAAGAGUAUGUUGAGCAUCUACGGAUCACUCUUCAAACCUUAAAGGAGAAACAACUUUAUACAAAACUCAAGAAAAGUGAAUUUUGGCUUGAGAAAGUUACAUUCCUGGGACACGUCGUGUCUAAGGAUGGAAUUUCAGUAGACCCUCAAAGGUGGAAGUUGUAAGCCAAUGGUCCAGACCGACUAAUGCCAAAGAAGUUGUUGGUUAUUUUUUUAACUCAAUUGCUAUUGAUGUCAAUGUGCAAGUGGACACAACAAGUAAUAAAGUGGGGUACUUGGCAAGUGUGGUCAUCGAAACAGAAGAGCAAAGACCAAAGUUGGAAGAUAUUCCAGUGAUGAACGAAUUUCAUGAGGUCUUUUCUGAAGAACUCCCAGGAUUGCCAUCGGAUCGAAAAAUUGAAUUCAAAAUUGAUUUGCUACUAAGAACUGGUCCAAUUUCAAUUACGCCCUAUAAGAUGGCCCCACCAGAAUUAAAGGAGUUAAAGAGUCAAUUGCAUGAUUUAUUAGACAAAGGCUACAUACGCAAUCAUUCACUAUGGGAAGCACUAGUACUAUUCAUAAAAAAGAAGGAUGGAUCAAUGAGAAUGUCAUCGACUAUCGAGAGCUAAAUAAGGUGACUAUCAAUAACAAGUACCCACUUCCCCACAUCAAUGACUUGUUUGAUCAGCUACAAGGAGCAUAAGUAUUUUGAAAGAUUGAUCUACGAUCAAAAUAUCACCAGUUGAGAAUUAGAGAAGAAGAUAUUUCUAAAACAACAUUCAGAACACGUUAUGGACACUAUGAGUUUGUCGUCAUGCCAUUUGGUCUAACUAAUGCCCCAACAGCCUUCAUGGACCUUAUGAACAUCGUAUUUAAAGACUACCUAUACAAAUUCAUAGUGGUGUUCAUCGACGAUAUUUUGGUCUACUCACGAUCAAAGAAAGAGUAUGUUGAGCAUCUACGGAUCACUCUUCAAACCUUAAAGGAGAAACAACUUUAUACAAAACUCAAGAAAAGUGAAUUUUGGCUUGAGAAAGUUACAUUCCUGGGACACGUCGUGUCUAAGGAUGGAAUUUCAGUAGACCCUCAAAGGUGGAAGUUGUAAGCCAAUGGUCCAGACCGACUAAUGCCAAAGAAGUUGUUGGUUAUUUUUUUAACUCAAUUGCUAUUGAUGUCAAUGUGCAAGUGGACACAACAAGUAAUAAAGUGAUGAAUAUUCGGGAUCGUCUCCACAGGGAUUGAUGUUACUAGAAAGUCUACAUCAAUCACGAUAGUGCAAACUUCCUUUGUUCAAAAAAGAUUCUAAUUAAAAGUGAAUUACUACCGAAAUAGACAAUAAAAGAAAAAUAAAACAAAUCAAUGCAGUAAUAAAACAAAUUAAAUGAAUUGCGUAAAAAGAUUUCAAUGGGAAUGAAGUAGCUAAGUGAUCAAACUCUCUUUAUGGAUUGACUGUUUUGUCUAACUUAACACCAGUUGCUAUAGAAAUUCCUAUAGUACUUGGCAGAAUUAUUUUGCAUCCUCAGCUAUCGCUUAUCAGAUUUCUCAUACCCUUAAGCACCCUAACAAUGACCAGUUGUUAACCCACCUACGGUAUGGCAUUAUGAGCAUACACUCUCACUACCCUAUAAAGUGAAUUCCUAUGUCUAGUUCUUCACAAAUCUUAACUCAAAUAUAGCCCUUUUAGGACUCCAGUAAUCUUAGUCCAGGAAACUUAAAUUAAGAUCAAGUAUUACUAUAAUAAUUUCCACUAAGACAGGUUCUUUUGCGGCUCUAUCUUAACUUGAACCAUUAAAUGGGUGGUCAACUGAAUUAAUGAUUAUAAUAAUAGCUAUUAGAGUAAAAUGCUACAUCAAUCUUGCAGCAACUCAUAAGAACAGUCAAAAACCCAUUUAGAUUGUUUGUCACUCAACUACAAUCAAAUUUAGUUCAUACUUUAAAAAAGAAAAGCAAACAGCAAAAUAUCAGCCAUGAAAUACAUUGGUUCAAUCAAAGAGUAAGUAAAGGAACAAGUAAAGAACGAUGAAAAUUGAAUCCACAAUAGCUCUGCUGGUUUAUCUUCACUGGUGCAGACUUGGUUUCCCGUGAAUUUUGAUUUUGUUCUCCUUUCCCUUUGAUUUCUCCAAUGUUAAUUCACCGCCCUUUUUUCAUAUGAUGCGUGCUCUCUUUAUAUAUGAAAACUAGGAUAAAUAAAAGCCUAAGGCACGCAUAAGUCAGAUUAGGAAACUGCAGAUAUUGAUUCUGCAUAUAUCCCGUGCCAAAUUUUCUCUGUCGUUGUUCCAGGAUUGCUACAGUAAUGGCUGCUCCAGCAACGACUACAUCACCAUAUUGUUCCAGAUUUUAUUUCAAUUCUUAUGUAGCCAUGUUCUUCCUUAUUUUUGCGAGCCUGUUGCAAUAGCAUCCCUUCCGUGAAAGAUAAGCUUCUGGACACCUACAAUUAAGCACACACUUUGGACAUGAAUUACUCUAAAUCAAGUAAAAUUUAUUAAGACUAAAUUAAAAUGAAUUUUUACUCUCUGAUCAUUUGAUUUAUUGUAAGUCUGCUGUACGGAUUAUUGAUUUAAGUCUAAAAGUGCCAUGAUAACUCUCAUUGCAUAGAGUUAUCACACCGGCAAACUUAAACCAGUACUUGUCCUCAGGUAAUGACAACAACACUCACUCUUCAAUCACACAAUCAUGCAAUAAUUAACUUAGCUCUGUUAUCAAAUUUGCAAGGAUUCUUCAACCCUCAGAUCACACUCUUAAUCAUACAAAAUUGUCAUAGCAGUUCAAGUUUUAGACUUAGGCCUCAUUUGGUCCAGAGUGUGUGUGUGCCACUUUGAUCAAGUUCCAGAGGUGCUACAACAUUACAAAGACAUUGCAUAUAAUUCAGAGGCAGAACACAAAUAUAUUCACAUAUGAGGGAGCAGAAAUCACACAUAUACUCAAACUGUGCUAUAACAAAAACAAAAAAUUUUUUUUAAGAACAUAAGAACACUUAACCCUCUUCACUGUAACAUUUAUUUUUCAUGUAAAUGUCGAUCACUUGUAAUGAUGACACCAAAUUACUCAAUCAAUGCACAGAUCAGAGUUGUUAUAGCAAUAUUCAUAGCAUAGUCUUAUCUAAAGAUAUCUUUUAACUCAAGGCUGAACAUGAGGCUUAUGAACAGACCUGGCUACUCAAUAUCCUAGACAGAGGACUUUUUUUUUUUUUACAACAGCAUAGAUGCUACAGCAAUGCUCAUAACUCUUGUUGCCUUUAGACUCAAGUCUGCAUAUGGGGUACAUACUCAGCCCUGGUUACUCAGCAACUUGAGCCAUUAGAGCUAAAUUUAUUUCAUAAUGAGCACAGUUUAACCAAAAAUUUCCCCCAAACUUGAGAUAUUUUCUACUCCUUUUAGUUUUCUUGGCUUUGCUACAACAUUCUCAUAAAACUCUACCAAAGUCUAAGUGUCAGGACAUAAUUUCAACCUCCAUCUAUAGUUAUCUCUACUUGGCAUUCUCAUAAACACUCAAUUUAUUUUCAUUAAGUCUUCAAAUCCAUACACAAAUAUUAGAUAACAUAGCUCACACAACACACAUCACAAGCAUAACACAUGCGAACAGAAACACAACCCCCCCAAACUUGAGAGGUGUUGUGUCCUCACAAACACACAAGAGAAAACCAUAUAAACUAGACAUGUUUACAAUAAAAAGGACAUGCAGAAUGAAUCAGAAAUUAAAACUAGAUGCAAGAAAAGUUUUUCAGAAGAAAAGAAAAAAAAUUAAAAGAAACUAGCAAGUAGGAGGUACUCCCUUGUUGCUAGGGUAUUGCUGCAACAAGAUGCAGUGACUUCAACGCUUUUUGGAUGUGCUCCGCAGCCGUUCCUCAUGGGAUUCUUCCAGUGAAGCAGUUGACAACGUCUUUUUCUUUUUCUGUAACGGGCUAGUGGGAGGAGUUACAGUUUGUGUAGCCUGCCUGAAUGAAACAGAUCUGGUUAUUUUUUGUUCUGGUGUGUCUCCUGCAACAACGACUUCAGAAGUGCCCCAUUUCCUUUUGCUGGGUCCUUUAGGACUAGUAAGAAUAUGUUUGGUGGGAGUUUGCUGUGAAGGAGUUGGAACUGGGGCUUCGGCUGCAUAUCCCUCAACUGUUAUUGCGACAAUAAUAUCAAGCAGCUGCUUUGUCUUUAUGGGUGUACGAGUAACUCUGGCUACUGCAGCUUCCAGCUCUGCAUCAAUUUGCUCGGCUUCAUCAUCAGAGGCAGGAGGGGUGAUUACUUGCUCUUUGCCCUUUUCUAGAAAGGACUGGAAUAUGAGGAGGCUCCUCUGCUGGUUCAUUGUCCUCUUUUUGUAUGAUGUGUUUUUUUCUAGAUUUGGAGGAGGUCUUGGUUGAGGGCUCCUCGAGUUCUUUCUCAGGCUCUUCAUCUUCCUCUGUCGGGGAACUGUCAGUUGCAUACUUGACACCCUCUUCUUCAGGUUAGUCAGAUUGGUCAUCAGCAUCUGUUUCAGCCUCUGCUUGCGGUUCUACUGCAGCUUUUUCCUUUAGUUCAUCUGUGUCAGUAGCUUCUUCACUGACUUCUGUUGGAGCCUCGGUAGUGUUGGUAUCAAAAUUGUAUUGUUGGAGCAAUGAAUCAAGAAAAGUUCGGUGGGUACUUUUCAUAUAUACAACAAAUUGGUGUAGGUGGUUUUCCAAGUGCUGCAAAUAGCUCCAAAAUCGAUUGUUUUCCCUCUGCUGAGCUUCAGCACAUUGAGUGAUGCUGGUGCUCAGUGCUUGGAUUCUCUGUUCUAACCCAAUAACUCUUCUUGCCCAUGUUACAGCAGCUAGUUCAGAGGGCUCCAGUAAUUUCACCAACAAUUCUUUCGAUGGUGCGUGCAAUGAGGGCACCAUCAUUCUUGACAUGCUCAUCUUUUGCAUCAAGGCGAACUCCCAAUACCACACAGAUGCUGGUGAUGAGUGAAGGAAAUAGCAAGGCAGCUGCUUUGUGGUUUUUCAUGGCACAGUCCCGAAUUUCUUUUUCUAUAAUGCUUCCCACAUCUAUGGGUAACCCUCUAACAAUAACAUGCAACAAUACUAGCCUUUCUUGUGAAACAGUAGUGGUGUGGGUGGUUGGCAUAAGUCUGGAUUUUAGAGAUUUCACCCACAACUUAGCAAUGGGUAUAAAAUCUAUCCUAUUAAUCACACGCCCUUCUUCAUUAGCCCAAGAUGCACCCUUUUACGGUAAGUGUUGUGAAAAUUUUGUUCAAUCUUUAUGGGGUUAAUUUGUCAAGCAAUUUGGCAUACUCGCAAUUAACUUCAGAAGGUAAAUUAUAUAAAGCAUUUAUAACUCAUUUGCUGCAGCAUUGUAUAAUGAUUGCACAAUUCCUGAGGGUUAAGGUGGGAACUGAAACCCUUUUUCUUCCAGAAUCUUGCGCGGUUCAAUAAAUUCUUCAUACUUUUCUUCCGCAUGGUAACUUUAGAAUCGUGAGGGAUCUUUUAGUCGGCCGGCUGUCCUUUUGUACCUUGGCAUUGCUAUAGCAGUAAAAUUUCGAUGGUAAUAUGCCCAAGAGUGAAACGAGAAGAAAAGGUUAUGAAGUACUAGAGUCGUAACUGUGAAGGGGAAAGAAAAUAGUGUUAGACGUCAAUAUGCACAGUGACGCCCUUAUAUAGGUGGAAUUAAAUGAAAACAAAUCCGGUAAAAGAGAUAAAUUAGAGAAGAAUUCUUUUAAAUUUAUUAAGUAUAUCCCAUAAAAAUAGGCAAGAGAAAUUAAUGCAGUAAUUUAAGAGAUAUUUUUCCUCAAUUUCUAUCUUAAUCCACCCAACCAUCUGUCACAUAUUAUCUCCAACAGUAAAGUGGGAGGCUCCGUGAUUAAGUUACUGUAACAGUAAUAUUGGUUGCUGCAGCACCCAAUUGUGUGCUCUAGCAACGGUUACACACUCUCCUCAAAUAGCUGCUGACACGUGGCUUGCCUCUGUAAUCUGUUAACAUUACAGUCCUAAUUGUUAGUAUUGAAUCCAACUUCAAUAAGUGCGUGACUAGGCAUUUUUUUUAGAAAAAGAAAAAAAUGAAACAAAUAAAAAAAAGAUAAAAGUUAAACCAUUCUGAAUAAAGAUAAUAAAUAAAUAAAUAAAUAAAAUUCUAUGACAAAACCAUGGAGGAUCCAUCUCAUUCGAAAUGACUGCCUCAGCAAUAGGUUGCCUCCCAUCGAGCGCUUGAUUUAAGGUCCUUCAGCCUGACCUUAUUUGAGUGCUCAUAAUGCCGGUUCUUUAAGGAGUAAGACCUCUUUUGAAUAAUCUGUAGCUGAAUGCAUGUAAUGCUUAACUCUGUGCCCAUUAACUUUGAAUUUAUGGCUUAUCUUUUCAUCUAGGAGAUCAACAGCCCCAUGAGGGUAGAUUUUGAGCAACUUGAAAGGUCCAGACCAUCUAGAUUUCAGCUUUCCUGGAAAUAGUCUUAACCUCGUAUUAUGGAGCAGAACUUGUUGACCAGGGAUUAAUUUCUUGUUGAAUGUGUUUGUCAUGCCAGUGUUUUGUUCUCUCUUUAUAGAUUCUUGUAUUUUCAUAUAGUUGAAGUUUCCUUUGCUCUGCUGCAGCAUGUAUAUCUCAAUUUAAUUACUUCAGUGCCCAAUAUGCUUUGUGCUCUAGCUCGAGUGGCAAGUGGCAAGCUUUCCCAUAUACAAUUUGGUAGGGAGACAUGCCUAGUGGUGUCUUGUAUGUUGUUCUGUAAGCCCAUAGGGAGUCAUGUAAGCGCAAUGACCAAUCCUUUCUUGAUGCGUUCAUUAAUGUUUCAAGGAUCUUCUUAAUCUCCCUAUUAGACACUUCUGCCUAGCCAUUGGAUUGUGGGUGAUAUGAUGUUGCUAUUUUAUGCUUGACUCCAUAUUUCACCAUAGCUGCAGCAAAUACUUUGUUGCAGAAAUGAGUACCCUCAUCACUAAUAAUUGCUCGUGGAGUGCCAAACCUGGAAAAGAUGCUUUUCUAAAGGAAGUUCACUACUACUCGAGCAUCAUUGAUAGGUAAUGUUGCAGCUUCUACCCAUUUGGAGACAUAAUCCACGGUAACUAGGAUAUAUAAGUUCCCAAAUAAUGGUGGUGGAAAAGGACCCAUGAAGUAUAUUCCUCAUAUAUUAAAAAUCUCUACUUCUAUAAUGUUCGUCAAUGGCAUUUCAUGUCUUUGAGUUAUGUUUCCUGUCCUUUGACACCUGUCACAACAUUUAGCAAACUCAUAAGCAUCUUUAAAAAUAGAAGGCCAGUAAUAACCUGAUUGCAGAACCUUAGCAGUUGUUCUGUGACCACCAAAAUGUCCUCCAUAUGCUGCAGCAUGGCAAGAUUCAAAUAUAUGAGGAAUUUCUCCUCUGAAGCACAUCUUCGUAUUACUUGAUCUAAGCAUAACUUAUACAAAUAUGGGUCAUCCCACUGGUAGCUUCUAACAUCAUGAACAAAUUUCUUUUUCUACUGAAACUUCAACUCAGGUGGUAGCAAUCCACUUACUAAGUAGUUAGCAAAAUAUGCAUACCAUGGAGAUCCUGAUUGCUGCAGCAUCUAUGCCUGCUGUAUUAUGAACAGUUGUUCAUCAGGAAAAGUUUCAGUGAUGUCUUUUUUUGGCAAUGUACUUGCGUCUGCUUCUAGCCUAGACAGAUGGUCUGCUACUUGAUUCUCAGUCCCAUUUCUAUCUUUAAUUUCCAAAUUAAACUCCUGAAGCAAUAAGAUCCAUCUUAUUAAUCUCGGUUUAGCAUCCUUCUUUGAGAUUAGGUGCUUAAUGGCUGCAUGAUCUGUGUACACUGUCACUUUAGUACCCACCAAGUAAGCUCUAAACUUAUCAAAAGCCAAUACUACUACUAGCAACUCUUUCUCUGUAGUGGUGUAAUUAAUCUGAGCUUGAGUAAGAGUUUUGCUGGCAUAGUAUAUAGAGUGAAAAACUUUAUUCUUCCUCUGCCCCAACAGAAUGGUCACUGGCAUCACACAUCAGCUCAAAUGGUAGAGUCCAAUCUGGUGCUAUAACCACUGGUGUAGUGAUCAAAGCUUUCUUGAAUUCUUUAAAGGCUUGAAGACAGUCUUUAUCAAAAUGAAAAGGCUUGUCAUGUUCUAGCAAUGAGCAUAAUGGUUUAGCUACUUUGGAAAAGUCUUUUAUGAAUCUUCUGUAAAAUCCAACAUGACCCAAAAAACUUCUAAUCCCCUUGAUUGAAGUGGGAGGUGGUAGUUUAUCUAUCAUUUCUAUCUUCGUUUUAUAAAGAUUUGGAGACAAACAGUUAUCUUGCAAAAUAGUUCACUGCAGCAGUUUCUGUGGAAAACGGCGAUCCGACAAUUUUGAUAAACGGCUCGCCGAUAUCAAACAGAAUUGAAGAUUAGUCUCUGGACCUAAACGGCGAUCCGAAAAAUUUGAUAAACGGUUCACCGAUAUUGAAUAGAAUUGAAGAUUAGCCUCUGGACCUAAACGGUGAUCCGACACCUAGAUAACGGCGAUCCGAAAAAUUUGAAAAUCAGCCCAACGGUCAUAUUGACCAGUCAAACAGUGAUCCGACAUCUAGUUAACGGCGAUCCGACAGUGUGCAGAAAGCCAAUAACGGCUAGUUUUCAACUCCAACUAUAAAUAAGCUCAUUCAAAUUCAAACAAGAUUGAUCACAACACGACCAUUAAGCUUAUAUUCGAGUAUACAAUCUUCAUAGAGCUUUAAAACACAUUCUUGUUUCAUCUAUUCACACAUUGGGCAUUGAUUUGUAAUCUUAAAUAUUGUGUGAGAGAAAAACAAUUUUUAAUCUUCUACUUUGAGUGAUUGUAAGUGUUAGAAUACACUUAGGGCAUCAUGAAGAAAUUUCUUUUUCUGCUGAAACUUCAACUUAAGUGGUAGCAAUCCACUUACUAAGUAGUUAGCAAAAUCUGCAUAUAAUGGAGAUCCUGAUUGCUGCAGCAUCUGUGCCUGCUGUAUUACUAACAGUUCUUCAUCAGGAAACGUUUCAGUGAUGUCUUCCUUUGUCAAUGUGCUUGCGUCUGCUUCUAGCCUAGACAGAUGGUCUGCUACUUGAUUUUCAGUCUCAUUGCAAUCUUUAAUUUCCAAAUCAAACUCCUGAAGCAAUAAGAUCCAUCUUAUUAAUCUCGGUUUAGCAUCCUUAUUUGAGAUUAGGUGCUUGAUGGCUGCUUGAUCUGUGUACACUGUCACUUUAGUACCAACCAAGUAAGCUCUAAACUUAUCGAAAGCAAAUACUACUGCUAGCAACUAUUUCUCUGCAGUGGUGUAAUUAAUCUGAGCUUGAGUAAGAGUUUUGCUGGCAUAGUAUAUAGAGUGAAAAACUUUAUUCUUCCUCUGCCCCAACAGAAUGGUCACUGGCAUCACACAUCAGCUCAAAUGGUAGAGUCCAAUCUGGUGCUAUAACCACUGGUGUAGUGAUCAAAGCUUUCUUGAAUUCUUUAAAGGCUUGAAGACAGUCUUUAUCAAAAUGAAAAGGCUUGUCAUGUUCUAGCAAUGAGCAUAAUGGUUUAGCUACUUUGGAAAAGUCUUUUAUGAAUCUUCUGUAAAAUCCAACAUGACCCAAAAAACUUCUAAUCCCCUUGAUUGAAGUGGGAGGUGGUAGUUUAUCUAUCAUUUCUAUCUUCGCUUUAUCCACCUCUAUGCCACUCUUGGACACCUUAUGACCCAACACUAUGCCUUCUUGCACCAUGAAGUGGCAUUUUUCCCAAUUAAGUACUAAGUUAGUCAUAUAACAUCUUUUAAGAACUUCUCCAGGGUUAUGUAAACAAUCAGUAUAUGUCUCUCCAAAGACUGAGAAAUCAUCCAUGAAGACUCCCAAUGUUUGCUCCACCAUAUUUGAAAAAAUAGACAUCAUACAUCUCUAGAAAGUUGCUGGUGUUAACAUAAAUAUUUCUUUAUUGAUUUUGAUGAUAACAAACUUGAUUAAGAUUGAUUAAGCUUUUAAAAGCUCAAAAUAAUUUUCAUCUAUUUUGACAAGUUUUAUAAAGUGUUUUUAUAAAGAUUUGGAGACAAACAGUUAUCUUGCAAAAUAGUUCACUGCAGCAGUUUCUGUGGAAAACGGCGAUCCGACAAUUUUGAUAAACGGCUCGCCGAUAUCAAACAGAAUUGAAGAUUAGUCUCUGGACCUAAACGGCGAUCCGAAAAAUUUGAUAAACGGUUCACCGAUAUUGAAUAGAAUUGAAGAUUAGCCUCUGGACCUAAACGGUGAUCCGACACCUAGAUAACGGCGAUCCGAAAAAUUUGAAAAUCAGCCCAACGGUCAUAUUGACCAGUCAAACAGUGAUCCGACAUCUAGUUAACGGCGAUCCGACAGUGUGCAGAAAGCCAAUAACGGCUAGUUUUCAACUCCAACUAUAAAUAAGCUCAUUCAAAUUCAAACAAGAUUGAUCACAACACGACCAUUAAGCUUAUAUUCGAGUAUACAAUCUUCAUAGAGCUUUAAAACACAUUCUUGUUUCAUCUAUUCACACAUUGGGCAUUGAUUUGUAAUCUUAAAUAUUGUGUGAGAGAAAAAUAAUUUGUCAUCUUUUACUUUGAGUGAUUGUAAGUGUUGGGAUACACUUGGGUUAAGAGAUUGGGGAUAAUCUCUUGUUGUAAAGGUUUAUUGACACCUUGAUAGUCAAGUGUAAGCAUUUGAAGCCUUGGAGGCUUGCUUAGUGGAAUCCUCAAGCCCGGAAAGCUUGGAGGCAUGGACGUAGGCGAGGUUGGCCGAACCAUGUAAAAAUCUCUGUGUUUGAAUCCCUCUUCCCUUAUCUUUUUAUAUUGUGAUCAACUUAAUUGUUAUUCCAUUAAGUUUUUUUUUAUAAAUUGAAUAAUUUUUAGAAUCCCAAUUCACCCCCCCUCUCGGGUUGCAUACUUGUAUUUCAAUUGGUAUCAGAGCCUUGUUAUCUUAUUAGGACUUAAUCAUCUAGAGUAAAAGAUCCAUGGCAACCCUAAAUGACUCAGCCUUUAGAGAAGGGCAAUCCACAACUAGACCACCGCUCUUUGACGGUAAUGACUAUGCAUAUUGGAAAACUAGAAUGAGAAUCUAUUUGCAAGCUUUAGAUUAUGAAAUUUGGGAAGUUAUUUGUGAUGGUCCAUUCAUGCCUAUGUUUAAAGAUGAAGUAGGAGAUGAUAUUCCUAAACCAGCAAGUCAAUGGAGUGAGUUAGAAAAGAGAAAAUUGUCCUUAAACUCCAAGGCAAUGAAUGCCUUGUUUUGUGCUCUUAAUAAGAAAGAAUUCCAUAGAGUAUCUAGCUGUGAAAGUGCACAAGAAACUUUACCUCUUGAUGAUUUAAUUGGUUCUCUCAUUUCAUAUGAAGAAGAUUUGGCAGCAGAAAAAGGGCAUGAGGAGAAGAAGAAAAGCAUUGCUCUCAAAGCUUCAAAAUAUGAGAGUGAUGAGGAGAGUGAACCAGAUGAUGAAGAGCUGGCCAUGCUAGCAAGGAGGUUCAAAAAAUUCUUCAAGAAAACUGGAGAGCGAAGAAAUUUCAGAAAGUUCAAGAACCAAAGAGAGAAGAAAGAGGUAAUCACGUGCUAUGAAUGCAAGAAGCCUGGCCAUAUAAGAUCGGAGUGCCCACUUAUCAACAAACUCAAGAAGAAAGCCAUGGUUACGGUACAGCAGAGUGCCCACUUAUCAACAAACUCAAGAAGAAAGCCAUGGUUGCAACUUGGGAUGAUAGCGAGGAAGAGUCAAGUGAUGAAGAAGGGUCACAAGAAGUAUCAAACCUAGCGCUUAUGGCAAUAGGAGGGGAUGAUGAUCUCAAUGAGGUAAGUGAUCCCACCUAUGAUGAAUUGUAUGAUGCUUUUAAAGAAUUGCAUAAUGAGCUGAUGAAGAUUGGUAAAAAGAAUGUAUGUCUUAAAAAGGAAAUGGCAAAGCUUAAAAAUGAAAAUGAAUCUUUAAUGCAAAAAUUGUAUGCUAGAAGUAAAGAACAAAACAUUGCAUGAUGAAAUUGCAUUAUCAAAUGAGAAACCUAGCAUCUCACAUGAGCAUUUAGAAUCACACAUAGAUGAUUUGAAAAAUGAAAACCAAAUGCUUAAGAAAAAGAGUAAUGAGUUGAAUGAGAUUAUUUUGAAAUUUACAAAUGGGCAAAAGAUGUUGGAUAAUAUGCUUAACUCACAAAAAUGUGUUUUUGAUAAAGGAGGACUUGGGUAUAAGCCUAACUUGAAGCAAAAAUAUUAUAAGAAUUAUUUUGUUAAAGCUACCUCCACAAGUGAUCAUAAGAUUGUNNNNNNNNNNNNNNNNNNNNNNNNNNNNNNNNNNNNNNNNNNNNNNNNNNNNNNNNNNNNNNNNNNNNNNNNNNNNNNNNNNNNNNNNNNNNNNNNNNNNNNNNNNNNNNNNNNNNNNNNNNNNNNNNNNNNNNNNNNNNNNNNNNNNNNNNNNNNNNNNNNNNNNNNNNNNNNNNNNNNNNNNNNNNNNNNNNNNNNNNNNNNNNNNNNNNNNNNNNNNNNNNNNNNNNNNNNNNNNNNNNNNNNNNNNNNNNNNNNNNNNNNNNNNNNNNNNNNNNNNNNNNNNNNNNNNNNNNNNNNNNNNNNNNNNNNNNNNNNNNNNNNNNNNNNNNNNNNNNNNNNNNNNNNNNNNNNNNNNNNNNNNNNNNNNNNNNNNNNNNNNNNNNNNNNNNNNNNNNNNNNNNNNNNNNNNNNNNNNNNNNNNNNNNNNNNNNNNNNNNNNNNNNNNNNNNNNNNNNNNNNNNNNNNNNNNNNNNNNNNNNNNNNNNNNNNNNNNNNNNNNNNNNNNNNNNNNNNNNNNNNNNNNNNNNNNNNNNNNNNNNNNNNNNNNNNNNNNNNNNNNNNNNNNNNNNNNNNNNNNNNNNNNNNNNNNNNNNNNNNNNNNNNNNNNNNNNNNNNNNNNNNNNNNNNNNNNNNNNNNNNNNNNNNNNNNNNNNNNNNNNNNNNNNNNNNNNNNNNNNNNNNNNNNNNNNNNNNNNNNNNNNNNNNNNNNNNNNNNNNNNNNNNNNNNNNNNNNNNNNNNNNNNNNNNNNNNNNNNNNNNNNNNNNNNNNNNNNNNNNNNNNNNNNNNNNNNNNNNNNNNNNNNNNNNNNNNNNNNNNNNNNNNNNNNNNNNNNNNNNNNNNNNNNNNNNNNNNNNNNNNNNNNNNNNNNNNNNNNNNNNNNNNNNNNNNNNNNNNNNNNNNNNNNNNNNNNNNNNNNNNNNNNNNNNNNNNNNNNNNNNNNNNNNNNNNNNNNNNNNNNNNNNNNNNNNNNNNNNNNNNNNNNNNNNNNNNNNNNNNNNNNNNNNNNNNNNNNNNNNNNNNNNNNNNNNNNNNNNNNNNNNNNNNNNNNNNNNNNNNNNNNNNNNNNNNNNNNNNNNNNNNNNNNNNNNNNNNNNNNNNNNNNNNNNNNNNNNNNNNNNNNNNNNNNNNNNNNNNNNNNNNNNNNNNNNNNNNNNNNNNNNNNNNNNNNNNNNNNNNNNNNNNNNNNNNNNNNNNNNNNNNNNNNNNNNNNNNNNNNNNNNNNNNNNNNNNNNNNNNNNNNNNNNNNNNNNNNNNNNNNNNNNNNNNNNNNNNNNNNNNNNNNNNNNNNNNNNNNNNNNNNNNNNNNNNNNNNNNNNNNNNNNNNNNNNNNNNNNNNNNNNNNNNNNNNNNNNNNNNNNNNNNNNNNNNNNNNNNNNNNNNNNNNNNNNNNNNNNNNNNNNNNNNNNNNNNNNNNNNNNNNNNNGCAAAGCUUAAAAAUGAAAAUGAAUCUCUAAAUGCAAAAAUUGCAUGCCUAGAAGUAGAGAACAAAACAUUGCAUGAUGAAAUUGCAUUAUCAAAUGAGAAACCUAGCAUCUCACAUGAGCAUUUAGAAUCACACAUAGAUGAUUUGAAAAUUGAAAACGAAAUGCUUAAGAAAAAGAGCAAUGAGUUGAAUGAGAUUGUUUUGAAAUUUACAAAUGGGCAAAAGAUGUUGGAUAAUAUGCUUAACUCACAAAAAUGUGUUUUUGAUAAAGGAGGACUAGGGUAUAAGCCUAGCUUGAAGCAAAAAUAUUAUAAGAAUUAUUUUGUUAAAGAUACCUCCACAAGUGAUCAUAAGAUUGUUUGCCAUUAUUGUAAUCAAAACGGUCACAUGAAAUAUAGAUGUCCCGUGAAAAGGAGUGCAUAUUAUGGUGUCUGAAAUAUAGAUGUCCCGUGAAAAUGAAUGCAUAUUAUGGUGUCAAAUGUAUUUGAGUUCCAAAAGGAACCAUUGCUAACUCUCAAGGACUCAAAAAGCUUUGGGUACCUAAAACUUGAGAUUUUCUUUGUAGGGCUUAAAGAAGAAGAAAAAUAAAUAGUACUUGGACAGUGGUCGUUCAAGGCACAUGACCGGAAACUAUGCAUGGUUCUCAAGCUUCAUCAAAAUUGAAAAUGGUGGAGACGUAUCUUUUGGAGACAACUCAAAAAGAAAAAUUCUUGGAAUUGGAAAUGUUGGUAAAGUUUCCUUAACUCUAAUUGAGAAUGUAUGUUUGGUUGAGAACUUGAAAUACGACUUAAUUAGUAUUAGUCAAUUAUGUGACAAAGGUUAUAAAGUUAUCUUUGAUAAAUUUAGUUGUGUUAUUGAGAAUUCAUGUGAUGGCAAAAUCUUAUUUGUUGGGAAUAGAUGUGAUAAUGUUUAUAUCAUUGACAUAUAAUGUGCAUCUACUCUUGAUAAAUGCUUUUCCACAUUGCAUGAUGAUAGUUGGUUAUGGCAUAAAAAGUUAGGACAUGCAAGUAUGGAUUUGAUUUCGAAAAUUUUGAAAAAUGAUUUAGUUAAAGGUCUUCCAAAAAUUAGUUUUCAAAAAGAUAAGAUUUGUGAAGCUUGUCAAUUUGGAAAACAAAUCAAAACAUCUUUCAAAAAUAAAAAUCAUAUUUCUACUUCAAAACCACUUCAACUUCUUCACAUAGAUUUAUUUGGGCCAUCUAGAUAUGCUAGUCUAAAUGGCAAAUAUUAUGCAUUUGUGAUAGUGGAUGAUUAUUCUAUAUAUACAUGGGUAUUAUUCUUAGUCAAUAAGGAUGAUGCUCUUGAUGCCUUUAAAGUGCUUUGUAAGAAAAUACAAAAUAAAAAAGGGCAUGGUAUUGCAUGCAUUAGGAGUGAUCAUGGAGGAGAGUUUGAAAAUCAUGCAUUUGAGAAUUUUUGCAAUAAUCUUGGCAUUAAGCAUCAAUUUUCAUCACCUAGAACUCCACAACAAAAUGGAGUUGUUGAGAGAAAGAAUAGAUCCAUUCAAGAAAUGGCUAGGACUAUGUUGAAUGAAAAUUCAUUGCCUAAGUAUUUUUGGGCCGAGGCCGUCAACACCGCUUGUUAUGUUUUAAAUCGUGUGUUGAUUAGAUCUAACCUUAACAAAACCCCAUAUGAGCUUUGGAAACAUAGAAAACCCAAUAUUGGUUAUUUCAAAGUUUUUGGAUGCAAAUGUUUUAUUUUGAACACAAAAGACAAUCUUGGCAAAUUUGAUCCAAAAUCUAAUGUUAGUAUUUUUCUUGGAUAUUUAAACUCAAGCAAAGCUUAUAGAGUUUAUAACAAAAAUACACUAGUUGUAGAAGAAUCUAUGCAUGUUACAUUUGAUGAGUCUAACCCCUCCUCUGCGGAGAAAGGAAUAAAUUAUGAUGAUGCAGAUGGAGAGUUAUAAGAAGAACCAUCAAAGGAUAAUCAAGAGAAUGCACCACAAAGAAAUCAAGAGGAUGAACAAGAAGAGCAAACAAAUAUAGAGCAACAUGAAGGUACUUCUCAAACACUCCCCAAGGAGUGGAGGUAUGUUUCUUCUCACCCUAAAGAUGUAAUUUUAGGAGAUCCCUCACGAGGUGUUACAACUAGAUCAUCGUUUAGGAAUACUUGUGAGCAUAAUGCAUUCAUUUCUCAAAUUGAACCCAAAUCCUUUGCGGAUGCGGAAAAUGAUGAAUCUUGGAUUAUAGCAAUGCAAGAGGAGUUAAAUCAAUUUGAAAGAAACAAUGUGUGGGAAUUAGUUCCUAAACCGGAACAUCAAUCCAUCAUAGGUACUAAAUGGAUAUUUAGAAAUAAGAUGGAUGAAUCCGAUGUGGUUGUAAGAAAUAAAGCUAGAUUAGUGGCUCAAGGUUACAACCAAGAAGAAGGAAUUGACUUUGAUGAAACUUUUGCACCCGUUGCUAGACUAGAAUCAAUUAGAACGUUGUUGGCAUUUGCAUGUCAUAAAGAUUUCAUCUUAUUUCAAAUGGAUGUGAAAAGUGCUUUCUUAAAUGGGUAUAUUAUGGAGAAGUAUAUGUAAAACAACCCCUUGGUUUUGAAAAUGAAAAACUUUCAAAUCAUGUUUAUAAGUUGUUUAAAGCCUUGUAUGGAUUAAAACAAGCACCUAGAGCAUGGUAUGAUAGGCUUAAGAAUUUCUUGUUAGAAAAUGAUUUUUCCAUGGGUAAAGCGGAUACUACGCUCUUUGUUAAACAUAAGGACAAAAACAUACUUGUUGUUCAAAUUUAUGUUGAUGAUAUUAUUUUUUGUUCUACUAAUGAAUUAUUAUGUCAAGAAUUUUCAUCUUGCAUGAGUAAUGAAUUUGAAAUGAGUAUGAUAGGAGAGUUGAAGUACUUCCUUGAGCUGCAAAUAAAACAAAAUGAGGAAUGAAUUUUCAUAAAUCAAGCCAAGUAUGUAAAAGAUCUACUCAAAAGAUUCGGCAUUGCUGACUCAAAGACCAAAAAUACACCAAUGAGCACAACAACCAAGCUCAACAAAGAUGAAAAAGGCAAAGAAGUGGAUAUCAAAAUGUAUCGAGGUAUGAUCGGAUCUUUAUUUAUUUGACUGCAAGUAGACUCGAUAUCAUGUUUAGUGUAUGUUUGUGUGCAAGAUUUCAAUCAUGUCCUAAGGAAUCCCAUUUGCUUGCUGUUAAAAGAAUUUUUCGUUAUUUGAGUGGAACCAUAGAUAUUGGCCUUUGGUAUCCUAGAGGAACUCAUAUAGAUUUAACAUGCUAUUCGGAUGUGGAUUUUGCUGGUUAUAAAGUUGAUAGGAAAAGCACUAGUGGAACUUACCAUAUCCUAGGUCACUCACUUGUUUCAUGGUUUAGUAAGAAACAAAAUUCUGUUGCACUUUCAACUACCGAGGCUGAAUAUAUAGCUACAGGAAGCUGUUGUGCACAAGCUCUUUGGAUGAAACAAACACUUAGAGACUAUGGUAUUAACCUAGAAAUAAGUCCUAUUAAAUGUAAUAAUACUAGUGCUAUCAAUCUUUCAAAGAAUCCCAUUCAACACUCUCGAACUAAGCAUAUAGAAAUAAGACAUCAUUUCUUGAGAGAUCAUGUUCAAAAGGGAGAUAUGCUUUAGAGUUUAUUUCUAGGGAAAAACAACUUGCCGAUAUUUUUACGAAACCUUUUUGCGAAGAACAAUUUUCAAAAAUUCGGCAUGAACUUGGGAUGAUGAAAUUUUCGCAUUAACAUCUUUAUUCAUGUUAUUGAGUCUAUGAAAAUUGAUUGAUGAUUUGAUGUUUUAAUAUCUAUGGAAUGCUCAAUCAUGAUAUACACGUGGAGUGUGUGUAUAUUUGGAAAAUGUAUGAAUAAAUUGUUGAAAUAUAUACAUGUUCAUGAAUUAUGCAUUAAAUUGGCACUUAAAUCAUUUUGGAUCAAUGAAAUGAUCUUGAAAUGCAUUAAUUGUUGGCCAAAUACUAAAAUAAAUGUGCGAAAUCAUACGUUUUAGAAAACGGAUUGCCGUUUUUUCAAUAAACGGCUAAUCGUUUUAGGGCAGAAACAAUGAGAAGCAUUCUGGAAUCUAUCGGUUGCCGAUAACACAUUAUCGGCUCACUGUCCUGAUGAAAAAUUUUGAGGAAACUCUCUGGACUCUGUCGGCUAGCCAAUAUAUCUAUAAACGGCUCGCCGUCUUGAUGAAAAAUUUUGAGGAGCCCUCUGGACUCUAUCGGAUCGCCGAUAUCUUUAUAACAGCUCGCCGAUAUCUUUAUAACAGCUCGCCGUUAUCACAUGAUAAGUGAACAGUCCUUCGUCUCUUUCUUCAUUUCGUUCUUGCUCUCUCUCUCUCUCACUCAUACUCGCGACUGACACUUCGUCUCUCUCUCAAAUCCACCAUUUUUUUUCGCUCUCUCUCACCAAAUUUACCCUCUCAAAGCAUUUCUCAUCUAGUUUAGACCCUUUUUUAACCGAUCAAAACUCAUUUUUGAUUCAAAUAUGAGAAAUCUCAAAUUUCAAACCCUAGAACCAGCCGCUCUUCUCUUGCCAAAAUUGAGCCAAAAUUUCUUUCAUUUUCAAUCACAUUUCAACUUGUCAUUACUCUCUCAUCACUCAAACUUUAUUUCUCCCGAUUCAAAUUUCUCCAAUCUCAUCAAUGGUCGAACGACCACAGAGGCGUGCUCGAACCAAGCACACUGCUCCGCGUCGUUCUAGUCCCUCCAGGUCUCCUCCUCAGGAUUUUGAGAGCCUCCAUUUUUCCAAUGACACCUCUGCUCAAUGAUUUCGUGACAAAUUCAUGGGCAAACCGGUAACUCCCUCUUUUUCUCUCAACAUUACGGAGUUUUCGGAUAUUACCAUUCGUGGUCGUUCUAUUACUCAAUUGCUUAGCCAUUGGAAGGAAGCCUUAAGUAUAGAAGAGCCCAUCUAUGAAAAUCUAGUCCGUGUCUUUUAUUCAAAUAUUGAAUUCUCCUCUACUCGUCAUGUUGAACUUUAUACUUAUGUAGGAGGAAUUCGCAUUGCUUUUAAUGAGUCAGAAUUAUGUAGUAUUCUAGGAAUUUUUUAUGGAGGCUUAGAUAUUUACACCGCUAGGAAAGAACUUGAAUUUAGUGAUUUCUGUCAUGUGAAUGGUGUACGCAACUUUUGUCGGCAUCGGGAUCUUUCCGAUGACAUCUGUUCUUUGUCCUUUAGGUCUCAACUUCUUCCUUUCCUGGUUCGAAUACUUCAUAUCAUUCUCCAACACAUGGUCACCCCUAGACAGGGUCACACUGAUGAGGUAACUAGACUUGAUGUUGGUUUAUUAGAUACCCUCAUCCGUAGACGGUGUGUGAGCUUAUCCUACACUAUCCUUUGUCAUAUGUUGUCCACUCCUAGAGUCUCCAACCGAUCCCUUCCUUAUGGCAGCAUCAUUACUAGGAUCCUGAAAUACUUUCGAGUCCCUAUCACUGAGCCUGUUUAUCUCGAGACCCGAAAGUUCGGUCGAGAAAUUAUUUCUGCGAUUGGAUUUUUUAAGAAGCGUGGGAAGUAGGAAAAGACAACAUCCUCUAAGAAUGAAGAUACUCUGCUUGCACCAGAAGAUGAUCGUAUGUUAAAUGAUAUCUAUUCCGAGGAUGAGUUACCCGAUUUCUGCCUUGGGGCUAGACCGCGUAUCCCUCGCAGAGCAGCAGUAGCAUCAGCAGCAGCAUCAGCAGCAGCACCAGUAGCAGUAUUAGCAGCAGCUUCCUCUCGGGAUGACGAGCCAGCCGAGACCGCCGUCCCUCCUGCAGCAUCGACCGUUCCUGCGGAUCGCUUUCAGCAAUUGUUUGACAAAGUGGAUUUUCUGUCCCAGCAGCAGCAGCAACUUCAAUUUGAUUUUGCGACCUUUCGACAGCAAAUUUCAGAUCAACAAAUGGAGUUACUUGCUGGCCAGCACCGCAUUCUCGGUUACUUUGGUUAUGACCCAAGCAGCUCUUCUUCACAGCCCCCGUCUUAGUUUUCUGCCCCUUUGAUUUUUGCACAGACAUCACUCAUUUCAUAUAGUUAUUAUGAUGCUAUUUGUCUUUUGUUUAUGCUUAUGAUGCUUUUAUGAUGUUUUUUGUUGGAUAUGUGGAUUUUAUUUAUGUUUGAGUUGAUUUUGAUGAUAUCUUGUUUAUCUUGCUGAUCUGUUUGAUUGUUGGCAUGGAGGUUGGUUGAUAAGCUGGCAUAUAUAUAUGGAAGUGUUUCUUUUAACUCUUUGUAUUGUUGAGGAUAUGCUCAUUUUUAAGGGGAGAUGCUGCCAAAAUUUUUUUUUUCCAACAUAAGUAAUCCCUCAACCUCUCUUUUUAAUCUUUUCGCGCUUAUUUCUUUUUGAUGAUGAAGGGGGAGAUAAUUAUUAUCAAAUCAAUCUGUUUUGUUUAAAAUUAUUUUUUAGAUUAAAACUAAAUUGACACAUAUUUAAGGAAUUAAUUAUCAAAUCAAUCUGUUUUGUUUAAAAUUAUUUUUGAGAUUAAAACUAAAUGGACACAUUUAAGGGAAGUUAAAAAUUCCUUAAAAUUUUCACUUAGGGGGAGCACAUAUUUAGAGGGAGCAAAAUUGCACAAGUAUUUUCUUGAAAAAUCUGUCAUCAUCAAAAAGGGGGAGAUUGUUAACAUAAAUAUUUCUUUAUUGAUUUUAAUGAUAACAAACUUGAUUAAUCUUUUAAAAGCUCAAAAUAAUUUUCAUCUAUUUUGACAAGUUUUAUAAAGUGUUUUUAUAAAGAUUUGGAGACAAACAGUUAUCUUGCAAAAUAGUUCACUGCAGCAGUUUCUGUGGAAAACGGCGAUCCAACAAUUUUGAUAAAUAGCUCGCCGAUAUCAAACAACGACAAUUUUGAUAAACGGCUCGCCGAUAUCAAACAGAAUUGAAGAUUAGUCUCUGGACCUAAACGGCGAUCCGAAAAAUUUGAUAAACGGUUCACCGAUAUUGAAUAGAAUUGAAGAUUAGCCUCUGGACCUAAACGGUGAUCCGACAUCUAGAUAACGGCAAUCCAACAUCUAAUUAACGGCGAUCCGACAAUGUGCAGAAAGUCAAUAACGGCUAGUUUUCAGCUCCAACUAUAAAUAAGCUCAUUCAAAUUCAAACAAGAUUUAUCACAACACGACCAUUGAGCUUAUAUUCGAGUAUACAAUUUUCAUAGAGUAGGAUAAUCUCUUGUUGUAAAGGUUCAUUGAUACCUUGGAAGUCAAGUGUAAGCAUUUGAAGCCUUGGAGGCUUGCUUAGUCAAAUCCUCAAGCCCGGAAAGCUUGGAGGCGUGGACGUAGGUGAGGUUGGCCGAACCACGUAAAAAUCUUCGUGUUUGAAUCUCUCUUCCCUUAUCUUUUUAUAUUGUAAUUGAUUUAAUUGUUACUCCAUUAAAUUCAUAUUAGAUUUGCAUGAUAAUUUGUUUUAGAAUCUAAUAAUUUUUUAGAAUCCCAAUUCACCCCCACUCUUGGGUUGCAUACUUGUAUUUCAGCUGGAGCAUUACAUAAACCAAAGGGCAUCCUUCUGAAGGCAAAAGUUCCAUAAGGACAGGUAAAUAUAGUCUUUUUCUGAUCCUCUAGGGCUAUAGCAGUUUGGUUGUAGCUUGAAUACCCAUCUAGGAAAUAAUAGUAUUGUUUUCCAGCAAGUCUGUCCAACAUUUGAUCUAUAAAUGGAAGUGGGAAGUGAUCCUUCCGUGUGACUUUAUUGAGCUUCCUGUAAUCCAUACAUACCCUCCAUCCAGUCAUUGUUCUUGUAGGAAUAAGUUUAUUCUUUUCAUUUGCUAUCAAUGUUAUUCCUCCCUUCUUUGGAACACAUUGAACUGGGCUUACCCAUGAACUGUCUGAUAUCGGGUAUAUGAUCCCAACAUCCAGCCAUUUGAUGAUUUCUUUUUUCACAACUUCCUUCAUAAUGGGAUUUAACCUUCUCUGUUGCUCUACUAAAUUGCUACAGCAGUUCUCUAACAGAAUUUUAUGCAUGUAUAUGGAUGGGCUGAUCCCUUUAAUGUCUGCCAUAGUCCAUCAUAUUGCUUUUCUGUAUUUCCCAAGCACAUCUACCAGGCUCCUUUCUUGAUCUGCAUCCAAAGUAAAUGAAAUGAUUACAUGAAGUGUAUUGUUCUGACCAAGAUAAGCAUAUUUCAAAUGUGAAGGUAACAAUUUUAAUUCAAGAGUAGGAGGUGAUUCAAUAGAUGGUAAAGUUGCUUUUACUUCCCUGUCUGAAAGAUUUAGAAGUUCAAUAAAUCUGCUAUGUUUGUUAGAUUGCCUUUCUCCCACCCAAUCUAUCUGAUUUGCUGCAACAUCUUCUUCUUCAAAUCUUUCAAAUGUGACAGCUUCGUUAACUGUGUUACUGCAGCAUCUAUUUAUUUUGUCUGCUACAGCAAGAUCCACAACACAUAGGAAAUUGAAAUCUUCUACCUCAUCAGGGUCCAUCAUGGCUUCUAAUACAUUGAAGGUGACUUGUUGGUCAUUUACCCUCAUUGUGAGCUCUCUUUUCUGCACAUCUGUCAGAGUUUUCUCGGUUGCUAGGAAAGGUCUCCCAAGUAUAAUUGAUACCUCUUUAUCAGCCUUAAAGUCUAGUACAAUGAAAUCCACUGGAAAGAUGAAUUUAUCAACCUUCACCAAUACAUCCUUAAUCUUUCCUUCAGGGUAUGCAUGAGAUUUGUCAGCUAAUUGCAGAGUGAUUGUUGUUGGCUAGCACUCUCCUACUCCCAAUUGCUUAAAUACAGAUAAUGAGAUCAGAUUAAUGCUCGCUCCCAAGUCACAGAGUGCUCUGCUAUUGUACCUAGUUCCAAUGGAACAUGGUAUUGUGAAGCUUCCCGGAUCCUUCAAUUUUUUAGGGAUCUUACUUUGAAGCAUGUGACUGCAUUCCUGUGUUAAAGCAACAGUUUUAAAUUCUCCCAACCUUCUUUUUCUUAUCAAGAUAUCUUUUAGAAAUUUCAUAUAAUUAGGCAUUUGCUCCAAUGCUUCCAUAAAAGGUAUAUUGAUGUGUAACUACUUCAGUACUUCCAGGAAUAUGCUAAACUAUUUGUCUUGUUUUUGUUUCUGGAAUCUCUGUGGGAAAGGGGGUGGAUGCCUAAAUUACUGGGCAAGAGGUACCAAUCUCUGAUCAUUUGAUUUAUUGUAAGUUGUCACCACUGGUGUUGCAACUUCUUCUUCAGCAUUUAUAGGUUGAUUCCCUUCCAAUGUUGCUGUAGCUUGACCACUAGCACCAGUAUCUUGAUGGCUGGGUUGCUGUAACAUGCUCUCAUCUUGAGGUGGUUCUUGUGAGGAGUUAAGUUCCAACCCUUUUUUAGUCACAUCAACAGGGACAUCAACAUUCUUUCCAGAUCUUAAGUUGAUUACUUUACCAUGAUCUUUUCCCUCUCUUCUUGGAUCUUUUAUAUUGCAGGGUAAACUUUCUUGAGAUCUGCUACUCAUUGCUGUGGCAAGCUGUCCAAUUUGGUUUUUCAGGUUUCUUAGAGAUACAACUUGACUUUGCACAAUUGCUUCAUUCUUUGCAAUGUAUUCCUUAAUCAGUGUUUCCAAUGAAGUAAGUGGAUCAUGGCUAGUGUGUUUUUGUCCUUGAUUCUGCUGUCGAAAACCAGGUGGUUGAGUAUUUCUGUUCUGUCCACUCAAUGCUGGAGCAUUUUGAUUUUGAUUGCUUCAUGAGAAAUUUAGGUGUUGCUUCCAUCCAGGGAUGUAAGUGUUAGCCUAAAGGGCUACACACAAUGUAAUUUUAAUGAUAACAAACAUGUGUCUUAAGUGAUUUAAUAAAUAUUGUAUUUCACAUUUUCACUAGUUUUUUAAGGAUAAUAUUUAUGCAAGUGAAAUCAAGUUGAAGACACUCAACGGACAACGACAAAAUCAAGAAUAAAGUUUAGAGCUCAACGGAUAAAUUAUUGCGAUAAAUUCUUAUAAAGCCGGUAUGAUUUAAUUGAUGCAUGAUUUAGCAUUUGAGAAGCUCAAGAGAUUAAUUUAAAUAAUUCUUUUCAUAAAUUAAAAGGUUUUAUUUUUAUAAGAUAGAGUAUUUUGUGGAUUUUAGUAAUUUGGACUUAAAUGAAAAGUUUUGCAAUCUUUGAAUUUAAUAAGUAUUAUUUUGAAUUCCGAAAUUGGAUAUUUUUGCAAACAUUUGAAAUGUUUUGGGCCAUACAAUAAUUUAUGAACAUUUUGGACUAAAGUGAAAGGUUUUGAGAACUUUAAAAAAUAUGGGUAUUAUGUUAAAUUUUAAAAAGGACCUCUUUGAGAAAUAAUAAUAUAUUUGAGACCAUAUCAUAAUUUCAAAAAAAUUUGGAAUGAAAAUUAUUAUUUAAAAAUUCUGAAAUUGGACAUAUUUGUAAAGUUUUAUGACAUUUUAGGCCAUAGUAUAAUUAUAGAAAAUUUUGGGCCACAGCAUAAUUUUGGUGAAAAGUAUUACUAUAGCAAAAUUUAAAAAUAACGGUAAUAGCACUGUUACAAGCGGCUAGCCGGAUAAAUCAAGUGGCAAGCCGGAUAAAUCAAGCGGCUAACCGCUUGGUUGCGGGAAUUUGCCUAUAACGGCUAGUUUUCGGGCUUUAACUAUAAAAACGCAACUCCAACUUCAUUUUAAGAACUAAUGCAAGCAUAAACAAGAUCAUAUAACAUAUAUUGAGCUUCCAAAUCGCAAAUCAUCAUAGAUUGAAUUAUUAUUGUGCUAUUAUUUGCAUAUCUACUCUUAAAGAGAGUUUUUGUUGUAAUUUUCAUUUCUUAUCAAAUUGUGAGUGUACAAGUGUGAGAAACACUUGGGGUGAAGAGAUUAAGGAGAAAAUCUCUUGAUUGUAAAGGUUCAUUGACACCUUGGAAGUUAAUUGUAAGAACUUGAAGCCUUGGGAGGCUUGGAUAGUGAAAUCAUCGAGCUUGAUUGGCUUGGAGACGUGGACGUAGGCGGGGAUUGCCGAACCAUGUAAAAAUCCGUGUGUUUGUUUUUCUCUUCCCUUACUCUUUUAUUAUUAUGCUUGUUUGAAUUUAUUGUUUUCUAUUCCAUUAAGGCGUUAGAUUGAUUUGCUGUGUGAAUUGCAUUGCAUAAGUUUUAAAAUCUCAAUUCACCCCCCCUCUCUUAGGUUGCGUAACUUGCAUUUCAGUAAGUAUUUGAGUAUGGGUUGUUUUGAGGCUGUCGGUUGAAAUUGCCCACAUAGUUUACUGAUGCUGGAUUUCCUGGGCAAUUGUCAAAUACAUGUUCCUCACCACAAUACACGCAAGACAGUUCAGCAACUUGCUUUACUGCUGCAGGAGUAGAAGUCAUGGCUUUCACCAUGUCAGUGAAUGAAGUUACUUGUGCUGAUAAUGUUGUAAUUGCAUCUAUAUUAUGUACCCCCGCUGCUCCUCUCAUUGCCGUAUGUCUAGUUGAUGACCACUGAUAAUUAUUGUUGGCAAUUCUUUCCAAAAUUUCAUAAGCUUCAGUGUAAGAUUUAGAUAGCAAAGCUCCAUUUGCUGAAGCACCAACCAUCAAUCUCGUACUUGGAUUCAACCCAUUGUAAAAGGUUUCUAGCUGUAUGCAACAGGGAAUGCCAUGAUAAGGAUACCUUCUGAGCAACUUUUUAAAUCUCUCUCAAGCCUCAUACAAACUCUUAUCUUCAAGUUGGUGAAAGGAAGUGAUCUCAUUCCGUAAUUUUGCAUUCUUGGUUGGUGGAAAAUAUUUCAUUAAGAAUUUGUCAGCCAAGUCAUUCCAUGUAGUGAUGCAAUCAGAGGGUAAUGAAUUCAACCAUGCUCUAGCUCGAUCUCUUAAGGAGUAAGGAAAAAGCCUUAGUCUUAAAGCAUCAUGUGUUGCUCCAGCAAUUUUAAAAGCAUCACUCACUUCCAAAAAUAACUUAAGAUGGAUAUGAGGAUCUUCAGAUGGCAGUCCAUUAAAUUGGCCUACUAUUUGCAGUAUUUGAAACAUCACUGGUUUAAGUUCAAAAUUAGUGGCUUCCACUUCAAGUCUAACUAUUCCAGGAUGUACAACUUGAGGAGUUAACACAACAUAAUCUUUGAUAGCCCUGUCUAUGUCAUCUGCCAUAAUAAAUGAUAUUGUUAUUGCCUGGUUGUCUCUAAUUAACAUGCUCAUUUUGCCCCUCUUGAACAUUGACAAGUUGUAGUGGCCCAUGAGGAUCCAAGUUUCCCACAUCCUGCAGAUUAUCCAUUUUUGAAAUAGUUUUUGAAUUUCUUUGCUCUCUUCGCAGUCUCUUUACAGUCCUUUCAAUCUCAAGAUUAAUCUAAAAUUCCACAUAUCUAUCUUUGCGCAUGCAAGUGUUGAUCUGUUAAUAAAUAGAACGAAUUAGAUCAAGUUGGCACUGUCAAGAUUAACUUUACACUUCGAAAAUAAACAAUCAAUCCCCGACAACGGCGCCAAAAACUUGUUGGUUAUUUUUUUAACUCAAUUGCUAUUGAUGUCAAUGUGCAAGUGGACACAACAAGUAAUAAAAUGAUGAACAUUCGAGAUCGUCUCCACAGGGAUUGAUGUUACUAGAAAGGCUACAGCAAUGACGAUAGUGCAAACAUCCUUUGUUCCAAAAAGAUGCUAAUUAAAAGUGAAUUACUACCGAAAUAGACAAUAAAAGAAAAAUAAAACAAAUCAAUGCAGUAAUAAAACAAAUUAAAUGAAUUGCGCAAAAAGAUUUCAAUAGGAAUGAGGUAGCUAAGGGUCUGUUUGGUAUUGUUUUUGAAUCUGUAUUUUCUGAGAAUAAAAAUGAAAAUGAAAAUGGUGUUUUGUAGUUACUGUAUUUCAAAUUUAAAUAUGCGUCUGGAAUCAUUUUCUGUAUCCUAUAUUUUAAAACUGAAAACAGUAAUAUGCGUUUGGUAGACACAGUUAAAAAUGAUAAAAAUAGAGAAUAUGCGUUUGGUAAUGCUUUUUUCAAAAACAGUUUUUACUAAUCAUUUACGUUAUAUUUAUAGUCAUAAAAUAAUUAUUUAGCUAAUACACAGAAAUACAACAAAAUAAUUUAACCAAAUUUAAUAUAAAAAAUUAUAUGAUAAUAAAAUUUAAGAAUUAACAUUCAUUAAAAAGAAGUUUGACAUUGUCAUUGUUUUUACACUAUAUAAUUAAGGAAUGGAAAAGACAAAAAUAACAGUGAUGGGUUAUGGGUGUGGUAGGUGCAGUUAAGAGCUGUGAUUUGACGAAGAAAGGAGUACAGAGGGAAUUGAAUGGCAAGAUGAGCAUAUGCUCUUCUUGCUAACAUCCACCUUCAAAUUACAAAUUUAAAAUCACCCCAAACUUCUUCACAUCCAUUUAUUCUACCUACCACCCUUUCCCCCACUCUCCUUAAAUGUUCUUCUUUUUUGCGCAAUCUAUUGCUUCGUGUGUCACUCUAACUUAAUUUUCCCUAAACCAUAGCCAGCUCCCCCUAUUCAUAUAAAAAAAUUUCGACAAAACAAAAAAGGCACUCACGAUGAUAUCAAUAGCCACUAAAAAACCAGAGCUAUCUCUUGAUAUCUCUUCACCAGCACCACCAGCACCGUCCAAUGAAAAGAUAGCCACCCAUAUUUUCAAAUCAAAGCUUCCCGAUAUACCCAUCUCCAAUCAUCUCCCUCUCCACACAUAUUGUUUCCAGGAUCGUUUAUCUGACGACCCAUGCUUAAUCGUUGGCUUAACUGGCAAAACUUACUCUUAUGCCGAAACGCACCUCAUCUGUCGAAAAACCGCAGCCGGUUUGUCGAAUCUCGGCAUCAAAAAGGGCAACAUGAUCAUGAUCCUCCUCCAGAACUGCGCCGAAUUCAUCUUCUCGUUCAUGGGAGCUUCCAUGAUCGGUGCAGUCACGACCACGGCCAAUCCCUUCUACACCUCAGCUGAAAUCUUGAAACAGUUCAGAACCUCUGGCGCCAAAUUGAUUAUCACAAUGUCUCAAUACGUCGACAGGUUGCCGAAGAUGGACAAAGAUUUCAUAGUGAUCAAUUCUACUGUGCAAUCAAAUUGCCAGUUACAAUUUGAUUAUUUUCUCUUGCAUUUCUUUUUCUUCCUUUUCGCAUAAAUCUGUGAAGGAUUUUUUUUUUUAAUUUAGGUUGCAUUAUCAAACUUGGAAAUAGAAUUAUUAUUUUUUGAACACAAAUUGAGAUUUCAGAAUCUCUAAAAUAAAUGAGGAAAAAUUUCAGCUCAUAAAUAAACAAUUUGUCACUACACAUGAACAACCUCAGAAAUUUCCAGAAUUAAAAAUCACUCAAAUCAUCUCUCAAAAAUUUCAGCUCAUAAACAAAAUAAAUACCGGCAAGUGACAACGAAGUAGCAGUAGACGAAGAUCCGAGAGAACAAGUGCAGAUUCAAGAGAGCAAAGAUCCGAGAGAGCAAAGACGAAGUAGCAGCAGCUGGACGGAGUCGGAGCAGCAGUGGUUACGGCGGAGAAAGAGCAGUGGCAGUGGCUAGCACACCAAGAGCGACCAAGAGAGAGAUUUGCUGUAACUGGAUUGAGAAAAUUGAGGGGAAAGAAGGCGCUGUAGUGAACUGGAUUGAGAGUGAGGGCUGCAGUGAAGAGAAAAGUGAGGGCUGCAGGGUCACGAUUUCUUUGUUGUUUUUAAUUCAUUUUUAGGUUUAGUUUGUAAAAUUUGGAGAACAUGUUUAACUUGUUUUCAGUUGUAUAGUUAUAAUAAUGAAUCUGGAUUUUGUGUUUUGUAAUUUGUUUUGUGAAAAAAAUCCACCAAACAUGUUUUAUGUGUGUAUUAUAAAAAUGAAAACGAAAACAUGGCUUGCAAAACGGUACCAAACGGACCCUAAGUGAUCAAACUCUCUUUAUGGACUAACUGUUUUGUCUAAAUUAACACUAGUUGCUACAGCAAUUCCUACAGCACUGGGCAGAAUUAUUUUGCAUCCUCAGCUGUCGCUUAUCAGAUUUCUCAUACCCUUAAGCACCCUAACAAUGACCAGUUGUUAACCCACCUACGGUAUGGCAUUAUGAGCAUACACUCUCUCUACCCUACAAGGUGAAUUCUUAUAUCUAGUUCUUCACAAAUCUUAACUCAAAUAUAGCCCUUUCGGGACUCAAGUAAUCUUAGUCCAGGAAACUUAAAUUAAGAUCAAGUAUUACUCUAAUAAUUUCCACUAAGACAUGCCCUUUUACGGCUCUAUCUUAACUUGAACCAUUAAAUGGGUGGUCAACCAAAAUAAUGAUUAUAAUAAUAACGGUUAGAGUAAAAUGCUACAGCAAUCUUGCAGCAACUCAAAAAAACAGUCAAAAACCCAUUUAGAUUGUUUGUCACUCAACUACAAUCAAAUUUAGUUCAUACUUUGAAAAAGAAAAACAAACAGCAAAAUAUCAGCCAUGAAAUACAUCGGUUCAAUCAAAGAGUAAGCAAAGGAACAAGUAAAGAACGAUGAAAAUUGAAUCCACAAUAGUUCUGCUGGUUUAUCUUCACUGGUGUAGACUUGCUUUCCCAUGAAUUCUGAUUUUGUUCUCCUUUUCCCUUUGAUUUCUCCAAUGUUAAUUCACCGCCCUUUUUUCAUAUGAUGUGUGCUCUUUUUAUAUAUGAAAACUAGGGUAAACAGAAGCCUAGGGCACACAUAAGUCAGAUUAGGAAACUGCAGAUAUCGAUUAUGCAUAUAUCCCGUGCUAAAUUUUCUAUGUCGUUGUUCCAGGAUUGCUACAGCAAUAGGUUCUCCAGCAACGGCUACAACACCAUAUUGUUCCAGAUUUUAUUCCAAUUCUUAUGUAGCCAUGUUCUUCCUUAUUUUUGCGAGCCUAUUGCAACAGCAUCCCUUCCGUGAAAGAUAAGUUUCUGGACACCUACAAUUAAGCACACAAUUUGGGCACGAAUUACUCUAAAUCAAGCAAAAUUUAUUAAGACUAAAUUAAAAUGAAUGUUUAUACAAAAUAUAACAAAAAUACAAUAAAAACACAUCAUUUACUCUCUAAGUACUAUUGAUUUAAGUCUAAAAGUAUCAUGAUAACUCUCAUUUCAUAGAGUUAUCAGAAGUCAUAAGCUUCCUAGGUUUGGUUGGAUACUACUGAAGAUUUGUGGAAGGUUUCUCGAAGAUCGCAAUCCCAUUGACCCUGUUGACAAAGAAAAAUGUCAAGUUUGCAUGGAUGCCAGAAUGCGAGAAAAGCUUUGAUGAACUAAAACGACGGCGGUAUUUUAAAAUCAGCCAUAUAAUAAAACAUAAAAUAAAAAUUAAACAAAUUAAUGUACAAAAAUAAAAAAUUAAAAUUAAAAUUAUAGGCAGCAGAACCAACCAUAUAAACAAAAAAAAUAAAUUAAUAAAAUUUAAAUAAAAAUUCAGGCGGUUGAACCGACCAUUAAAAAUAAAUACAAAAAGUAAAUUGCAUAAAUUUAAAGAAAGAAAAAAUGUAAUUUUUUUUAUUUUAAAAUUUACCAGCUGAUUAAAUUUCAAUUAUUAGGUCUUAAUUGUUAUUUUAAAAGUCCAAGUUCAUGUCCAUUAUGUCCACCAAGUCCAAAAGUCCAACGAAUAAGGCAAAGUCCAAAGAUCCAAGUUCCAAUUCAGUUUUAAGAACUGGUUUGCAACAAUGUUUGGGCUAAAAUAAAAUUCUUCACAAGUUUUAUGGAAAUCUUGUGAAUAUAAGAGAGAGAAGGGAGCUUACUGAAAUUUUAUGAAAUGAAUUAUUAUAACCAAACAAAGAAAUGACUUAAGACGCAAAUAAUAGAGGUUGGCCGAACCACGUAAAAAUCUUCGUGUUUGAAUCUCUCUUCCCUUAUCUUUUUAUAUUGUAAUUGAUUUAAUUGUUACUCCAUUAAAUUCAUAUUAGAUUUGCAUGAUAAUUUGUUUUAGAAUCUAAUAAUUUUUUAGAAUCCCAAUUCACCCCCACUCUUGGGUUGCAUACUUGUAUUUCAGCUGGAGCAUUACAUAAACCAAAGGGCAUCCUUCUGAAGGCAAAAGUUCCAUAAGGACAGGUAAAUAUAGUCUUUUUCUGAUCCUCUAGGGCUAUAGCAGUUUGGUUGUAGCUUGAAUACCCAUCUAGGAAAUAAUAGUAUUGUUUUCCAGCAAGUCUGUCCAACAUUUGAUCUAUAAAUGGAAGUGGGAAGUGAUCCUUCCGUGUGACUUUAUUGAGCUUCCUGUAAUCCAUACAUACCCUCCAUCCAGUCAUUGUUCUUGUAGGAAUAAGUUUAUUCUUUUCAUUUGCUAUCAAUGUUAUUCCUCCCUUCUUUGGAACACAUUGAACUGGGCUUACCCAUGAACUGUCUGAUAUCGGGUAUAUGAUCCCAACAUCCAGCCAUUUGAUGAUUUCUUUUUUCACAACUUCCUUCAUAAUGGGAUUUAACCUUCUCUGUUGCUCUACUAAAUUGCUACAGCAGUUCUCUAACAGAAUUUUAUGCAUGUAUAUGGAUGGGCUGAUCCCUUUAAUGUCUGCCAUAGUCCAUCAUAUUGCUUUUCUGUAUUUCCCAAGCACAUCUACCAGGCUCCUUUCUUGAUCUGCAUCCAAAGUAAAUGAAAUGAUUACAUGAAGUGUAUUGUUCUGACCAAGAUAAGCAUAUUUCAAAUGUGAAGGUAACAAUUUUAAUUCAAGAGUAGGAGGUGAUUCAAUAGAUGGUAAAGUUGCUUUUACUUCCCUGUCUGAAAGAUUUAGAAGUUCAAUAAAUCUGCUAUGUUUGUUAGAUUGCCUUUCUCCCACCCAAUCUAUCUGAUUUGCUGCAACAUCUUCUUCUUCAAAUCUUUCAAAUGUGACAGCUUCGUUAACUGUGUUACUGCAGCAUCUAUUUAUUUUGUCUGCUACAGCAAGAUCCACAACACAUAGGAAAUUGAAAUCUUCUACCUCAUCAGGGUCCAUCAUGGCUUCUAAUACAUUGAAGGUGACUUGUUGGUCAUUUACCCUCAUUGUGAGCUCUCUUUUCUGCACAUCUGUCAGAGUUUUCUCGGUUGCUAGGAAAGGUCUCCCAAGUAUAAUUGAUACCUCUUUAUCAGCCUUAAAGUCUAGUACAAUGAAAUCCACUGGAAAGAUGAAUUUAUCAACCUUCACCAAUACAUCCUUAAUCUUUCCUUCAGGGUAUGCAUGAGAUUUGUCAGCUAAUUGCAGAGUGAUUGUUGUUGGCUAGCACUCUCCUACUCCCAAUUGCUUAAAUACAGAUAAUGAGAUCAGAUUAAUGCUCGCUCCCAAGUCACAGAGUGCUCUGCUAUUGUACCUAGUUCCAAUGGAACAUGGUAUUGUGAAGCUUCCCGGAUCCUUCAAUUUUUUAGGGAUCUUACUUUGAAGCAUGUGACUGCAUUCCUGUGUUAAAGCAACAGUUUUAAAUUCUCCCAACCUUCUUUUUCUUAUCAAGAUAUCUUUUAGAAAUUUCAUAUAAUUAGGCAUUUGCUCCAAUGCUUCCAUAAAAGGUAUAUUGAUGUGUAACUACUUCAGUACUUCCAGGAAUAUGCUAAACUAUUUGUCUUGUUUUUGUUUCUGGAAUCUCUGUGGGAAAGGGGGUGGAUGCCUAAAUUACUGGGCAAGAGGUACCAAUCUCUGAUCAUUUGAUUUAUUGUAAGUUGUCACCACUGGUGUUGCAACUUCUUCUUCAGCAUUUAUAGGUUGAUUCCCUUCCAAUGUUGCUGUAGCUUGACCACUAGCACCAGUAUCUUGAUGGCUGGGUUGCUGUAACAUGCUCUCAUCUUGAGGUGGUUCUUGUGAGGAGUUAAGUUCCAACCCUUUUUUAGUCACAUCAACAGGGACAUCAACAUUCUUUCCAGAUCUUAAGUUGAUUACUUUACCAUGAUCUUUUCCCUCUCUUCUUGGAUCUUUUAUAUUGCAGGGUAAACUUUCUUGAGAUCUGCUACUCAUUGCUGUGGCAAGCUGUCCAAUUUGGUUUUUCAGGUUUCUUAGAGAUACAACUUGACUUUGCACAAUUGCUUCAUUCUUUGCAAUGUAUUCCUUAAUCAGUGUUUCCAAUGAAGUAAGUGGAUCAUGGCUAGUGUGUUUUUGUCCUUGAUUCUGCUGUCGAAAACCAGGUGGUUGAGUAUUUCUGUUCUGUCCACUCAAUGCUGGAGCAUUUUGAUUUUGAUUGCUUCAUGAGAAAUUUAGGUGUUGCUUCCAUCCAGGGAUGUAAGUGUUAGCCUAAAGGGCUACACACAAUGUAAUUUUAAUGAUAACAAACAUGUGUCUUAAGUGAUUUAAUAAAUAUUGUAUUUCACAUUUUCACUAGUUUUUUAAGGAUAAUAUUUAUGCAAGUGAAAUCAAGUUGAAGACACUCAACGGACAACGACAAAAUCAAGAAUAAAGUUUAGAGCUCAACGGAUAAAUUAUUGCGAUAAAUUCUUAUAAAGCCGGUAUGAUUUAAUUGAUGCAUGAUUUAGCAUUUGAGAAGCUCAAGAGAUUAAUUUAAAUAAUUCUUUUCAUAAAUUAAAAGGUUUUAUUUUUAUAAGAUAGAGUAUUUUGUGGAUUUUAGUAAUUUGGACUUAAAUGAAAAGUUUUGCAAUCUUUGAAUUUAAUAAGUAUUAUUUUGAAUUCCGAAAUUGGAUAUUUUUGCAAACAUUUGAAAUGUUUUGGGCCAUACAAUAAUUUAUGAACAUUUUGGACUAAAGUGAAAGGUUUUGAGAACUUUAAAAAAUAUGGGUAUUAUGUUAAAUUUUAAAAAGGACCUCUUUGAGAAAUAAUAAUAUAUUUGAGACCAUAUCAUAAUUUCAAAAAAAUUUGGAAUGAAAAUUAUUAUUUAAAAAUUCUGAAAUUGGACAUAUUUGUAAAGUUUUAUGACAUUUUAGGCCAUAGUAUAAUUAUAGAAAAUUUUGGGCCACAGCAUAAUUUUGGUGAAAAGUAUUACUAUAGCAAAAUUUAAAAAUAACGGUAAUAGCACUGUUACAAGCGGCUAGCCGGAUAAAUCAAGUGGCAAGCCGGAUAAAUCAAGCGGCUAACCGCUUGGUUGCGGGAAUUUGCCUAUAACGGCUAGUUUUCGGGCUUUAACUAUAAAAACGCAACUCCAACUUCAUUUUAAGAACUAAUGCAAGCAUAAACAAGAUCAUAUAACAUAUAUUGAGCUUCCAAAUCGCAAAUCAUCAUAGAUUGAAUUAUUAUUGUGCUAUUAUUUGCAUAUCUACUCUUAAAGAGAGUUUUUGUUGUAAUUUUCAUUUCUUAUCAAAUUGUGAGUGUACAAGUGUGAGAAACACUUGGGGUGAAGAGAUUAAGGAGAAAAUCUCUUGAUUGUAAAGGUUCAUUGACACCUUGGAAGUUAAUUGUAAGAACUUGAAGCCUUGGGAGGCUUGGAUAGUGAAAUCAUCGAGCUUGAUUGGCUUGGAGACGUGGACGUAGGCGGGGAUUGCCGAACCAUGUAAAAAUCCGUGUGUUUGUUUUUCUCUUCCCUUACUCUUUUAUUAUUAUGCUUGUUUGAAUUUAUUGUUUUCUAUUCCAUUAAGGCGUUAGAUUGAUUUGCUGUGUGAAUUGCAUUGCAUAAGUUUUAAAAUCUCAAUUCACCCCCCCUCUCUUAGGUUGCGUAACUUGCAUUUCAGUAAGUAUUUGAGUAUGGGUUGUUUUGAGGCUGUCGGUUGAAAUUGCCCACAUAGUUUACUGAUGCUGGAUUUCCUGGGCAAUUGUCAAAUACAUGUUCCUCACCACAAUACACGCAAGACAGUUCAGCAACUUGCUUUACUGCUGCAGGAGUAGAAGUCAUGGCUUUCACCAUGUCAGUGAAUGAAGUUACUUGUGCUGAUAAUGUUGUAAUUGCAUCUAUAUUAUGUACCCCCGCUGCUCCUCUCAUUGCCGUAUGUCUAGUUGAUGACCACUGAUAAUUAUUGUUGGCAAUUCUUUCCAAAAUUUCAUAAGCUUCAGUGUAAGAUUUAGAUAGCAAAGCUCCAUUUGCUGAAGCACCAACCAUCAAUCUCGUACUUGGAUUCAACCCAUUGUAAAAGGUUUCUAGCUGUAUGCAACAGGGAAUGCCAUGAUAAGGAUACCUUCUGAGCAACUUUUUAAAUCUCUCUCAAGCCUCAUACAAACUCUUAUCUUCAAGUUGGUGAAAGGAAGUGAUCUCAUUCCGUAAUUUUGCAUUCUUGGUUGGUGGAAAAUAUUUCAUUAAGAAUUUGUCAGCCAAGUCAUUCCAUGUAGUGAUGCAAUCAGAGGGUAAUGAAUUCAACCAUGCUCUAGCUCGAUCUCUUAAGGAGUAAGGAAAAAGCCUUAGUCUUAAAGCAUCAUGUGUUGCUCCAGCAAUUUUAAAAGCAUCACUCACUUCCAAAAAUAACUUAAGAUGGAUAUGAGGAUCUUCAGAUGGCAGUCCAUUAAAUUGGCCUACUAUUUGCAGUAUUUGAAACAUCACUGGUUUAAGUUCAAAAUUAGUGGCUUCCACUUCAAGUCUAACUAUUCCAGGAUGUACAACUUGAGGAGUUAACACAACAUAAUCUUUGAUAGCCCUGUCUAUGUCAUCUGCCAUAAUAAAUGAUAUUGUUAUUGCCUGGUUGUCUCUAAUUAACAUGCUCAUUUUGCCCCUCUUGAACAUUGACAAGUUGUAGUGGCCCAUGAGGAUCCAAGUUUCCCACAUCCUGCAGAUUAUCCAUUUUUGAAAUAGUUUUUGAAUUUCUUUGCUCUCUUCGCAGUCUCUUUACAGUCCUUUCAAUCUCAAGAUUAAUCUAAAAUUCCACAUAUCUAUCUUUGCGCAUGCAAGUGUUGAUCUGUUAAUAAAUAGAACGAAUUAGAUCAAGUUGGCACUGUCAAGAUUAACUUUACACUUCGAAAAUAAACAAUCAAUCCCCGACAACGGCGCCAAAAACUUGUUGGUUAUUUUUUUAACUCAAUUGCUAUUGAUGUCAAUGUGCAAGUGGACACAACAAGUAAUAAAAUGAUGAACAUUCGAGAUCGUCUCCACAGGGAUUGAUGUUACUAGAAAGGCUACAGCAAUGACGAUAGUGCAAACAUCCUUUGUUCCAAAAAGAUGCUAAUUAAAAGUGAAUUACUACCGAAAUAGACAAUAAAAGAAAAAUAAAACAAAUCAAUGCAGUAAUAAAACAAAUUAAAUGAAUUGCGCAAAAAGAUUUCAAUAGGAAUGAGGUAGCUAAGGGUCUGUUUGGUAUUGUUUUUGAAUCUGUAUUUUCUGAGAAUAAAAAUGAAAAUGAAAAUGGUGUUUUGUAGUUACUGUAUUUCAAAUUUAAAUAUGCGUCUGGAAUCAUUUUCUGUAUCCUAUAUUUUAAAACUGAAAACAGUAAUAUGCGUUUGGUAGACACAGUUAAAAAUGAUAAAAAUAGAGAAUAUGCGUUUGGUAAUGCUUUUUUCAAAAACAGUUUUUACUAAUCAUUUACGUUAUAUUUAUAGUCAUAAAAUAAUUAUUUAGCUAAUACACAGAAAUACAACAAAAUAAUUUAACCAAAUUUAAUAUAAAAAAUUAUAUGAUAAUAAAAUUUAAGAAUUAACAUUCAUUAAAAAGAAGUUUGACAUUGUCAUUGUUUUUACACUAUAUAAUUAAGGAAUGGAAAAGACAAAAAUAACAGUGAUGGGUUAUGGGUGUGGUAGGUGCAGUUAAGAGCUGUGAUUUGACGAAGAAAGGAGUACAGAGGGAAUUGAAUGGCAAGAUGAGCAUAUGCUCUUCUUGCUAACAUCCACCUUCAAAUUACAAAUUUAAAAUCACCCCAAACUUCUUCACAUCCAUUUAUUCUACCUACCACCCUUUCCCCCACUCUCCUUAAAUGUUCUUCUUUUUUGCGCAAUCUAUUGCUUCGUGUGUCACUCUAACUUAAUUUUCCCUAAACCAUAGCCAGCUCCCCCUAUUCAUAUAAAAAAAUUUCGACAAAACAAAAAAGGCACUCACGAUGAUAUCAAUAGCCACUAAAAAACCAGAGCUAUCUCUUGAUAUCUCUUCACCAGCACCACCAGCACCGUCCAAUGAAAAGAUAGCCACCCAUAUUUUCAAAUCAAAGCUUCCCGAUAUACCCAUCUCCAAUCAUCUCCCUCUCCACACAUAUUGUUUCCAGGAUCGUUUAUCUGACGAUCCAUGCUUAAUCGUUGGCUCAACUGGCAAAACUUACUCUUAUGCCGAAACGCACCUCAUCUGUCGAAAAACCGCAGCCGGUUUGUCGAAUCUCGGCAUCAAAAAGGGCAACAUGAUCAUGAUCCUCCUCCAGAACUGCGCCGAAUUCAUCUUCUCGUUCAUGGGAGCUUCCAUGAUCGGUGCAGUCACGACCACGGCCAAUCCCUUCUACACCUCAGCUGAAAUCUUGAAACAGUUCAGAACCUCUGGCGCCAAAUUGAUUAUCACAAUGUCUCAAUACGUCGACAGGUUGCCGAAGAUGGACAAAGAUUUCAUAGUGAUCAAUUCUACUGUGCAAUCAAAUUGCCAGUUACAAUUUGAUUAUUUUCUCUUGCAUUUCUUUUUCUUCCUUUUCGCAUAAAUCUGUGAAGGAUUUUUUUUUUUAAUUUAGGUUGCAUUAUCAAACUUGGAAAUAGAAUUAUUAUUUUUUGAACACAAAUUGAGAUUUCAGAAUCUCUAAAAUAAAUGAGGAAAAAUUUCAGCUCAUAAAUAAACAAUUUGUCACUACACAUGAACAACCUCAGAAAUUUCCAGAAUUAAAAAUCACUCAAAUCAUCUCUCCAGAAUUUCAGCUCAUAAACAAAAUAAAUACCGGCAAGUGACAACGAAGUAGCAGUAGACGAAGAUCCGAGAGAACAAGUGCAGAUUCAAGAGAGCAAAGAUCCGAGAGAGCAAAGACGAAGUAGCAGCAGCUGGACGGAGUCGGAGCAGCAGUGGUUACGGCGGAGAAAGAGCAGUGGCAGUGGCUAGCACACCAAGAGCGACCAAGAGAGAGAUUUGCUGUAACUGGAUUGAGAAAAUUGAGGGGAAAGAAGGCGCUGUAGUGAACUGGAUUGAGAGUGAGGGCUGCAGUGAAGAGAAAAGUGAGGGCUGCGGGGUCACGAUUUCUUUGUUGUUUUUUAAUUCAUUUUUAGGUUUAGUUUGUAAAAUUUGGAGAACAUGUUUAACUUGUUUUCAGUUGUAUAGUUAUAAUAAUGAAUCUGGAUUUUGUGUUUUGUAAUUUGUUUUGUGAAAAAAAUCCACCAAACAUGUUUUAUGUGUGUAUUAUAAAAAUGAAAACGAAAACAUGGCUUGCAAAACGGUACCAAACGGACCCUAAGUGAUCAAACUCUCUUUAUGGACUAACUGUUUUGUCUAAAUUAACACUAGUUGCUACAGCAAUUCCUACAGCACUGGGCAGAAUUAUUUUGCAUCCUCAGCUGUCGCUUAUCAGAUUUCUCAUACCCUUAAGCACCCUAACAAUGACCAGUUGUUAACCCACCUACGGUAUGGCAUUAUGAGCAUACACUCUCUCUACCCUACAAGGUGAAUUCUUAUAUCUAGUUCUUCACAAAUCUUAACUCAAAUAUAGCCCUUUCGGGACUCAAGUAAUCUUAGUCCAGGAAACUUAAAUUAAGAUCAAGUAUUACUCUAAUAAUUUCCACUAAGACAUGCCCUUUUACGGCUCUAUCUUAACUUGAACCAUUAAAUGGGUGGUCAACCAAAAUAAUGAUUAUAAUAAUAACGGUUAGAGUAAAAUGCUACAGCAAUCUUGCAGCAACUCAAAAAAACAGUCAAAAACCCAUUUAGAUUGUUUGUCACUCAACUACAAUCAAAUUUAGUUCAUACUUUGAAAAAGAAAAACAAACAGCAAAAUAUCAGCCAUGAAAUACAUCGGUUCAAUCAAAGAGUAAGCAAAGGAACAAGUAAAGAACGAUGAAAAUUGAAUCCACAAUAGUUCUGCUGGUUUAUCUUCACUGGUGUAGACUUGCUUUCCCAUGAAUUCUGAUUUUGUUCUCCUUUUCCCUUUGAUUUCUCCAAUGUUAAUUCACCGCCCUUUUUUCAUAUGAUGUGUGCUCUUUUUAUAUAUGAAAACUAGGGUAAACAGAAGCCUAGGGCACACAUAAGUCAGAUUAGGAAACUGCAGAUAUCGAUUAUGCAUAUAUCCCGUGCUAAAUUUUCUAUGUCGUUGUUCCAGGAUUGCUACAGCAAUAGGUUCUCCAGCAACGGCUACAACACCAUAUUGUUCCAGAUUUUAUUCCAAUUCUUAUGUAGCCAUGUUCUUCCUUAUUUUUGCGAGCCUAUUGCAACAGCAUCCCUUCCGUGAAAGAUAAGUUUCUGGACACCUACAAUUAAGCACACAAUUUGGGCACGAAUUACUCUAAAUCAAGCAAAAUUUAUUAAGACUAAAUUAAAAUGAAUGUUUAUACAAAAUAUAACAAAAAUACAAUAAAAACACAUCAUUUACUCUCUAAGUACUAUUGAUUUAAGUCUAAAAGUAUCAUGAUAACUCUCAUUUCAUAGAGUUAUCAGAAGUCAUAAGCUUCCUAGGUUUGGUUGGAUACUACUGAAGAUUUGUGGAAGGUUUCUCGAAGAUCGCAAUCCCAUUGACCCUGUUGACAAAGAAAAAUGUCAAGUUUGCAUGGAUGCCAGAAUGCGAGAAAAGCUUUGAUGAACUAAAACGACGGCGGUAUUUUAAAAUCAGCCAUAUAAUAAAACAUAAAAUAAAAAUUAAACAAAUUAAUGUACAAAAAUAAAAAAUUAAAAUUAAAAUUAUAGGCAGCAGAACCAACCAUAUAAACAAAAAAAAUAAAUUAAUAAAAUUUAAAUAAAAAUUCAGGCGGUUGAACCGACCAUUAAAAAUAAAUACAAAAAGUAAAUUGCAUAAAUUUAAAGAAAGAAAAAAUGUAAUUUUUUUUAUUUUAAAAUUUACCAGCUGAUUAAAUUUCAAUUAUUAGGUCUUAAUUGUUAUUUUAAAAGUCCAAGUUCAUGUCCAUUAUGUCCACCAAGUCCAAAAGUCCAACGAAUAAGGCAAAGUCCAAAGAUCCAAGUUCCAAUUCAGUUUUAAGAACUGGUUUGCAACAAUGUUUGGGCUAAAAUAAAAUUCUUCACAAGUUUUAUGGAAAUCUUGUGAAUAUAAGAGAGAGAAGGGAGCUUACUGAAAUUUUAUGAAAUGAAUUAUUAUAACCAAACAAAGAAAUGACUUAAGACGCAAAUAAUAAUUGACAAAAAAUGUAAUUAAUAAUUGACAAAAAAUAAAAUAACAAAUUUAAGAAACUCUUCGGCAACGGCGUCAAAAACGUGACACAACCACAAGUAUUAUUGCUUCCAAGUAUAAGAGUAUCUAGUAAUAAUAUAACCCGAUGAGUCUAGAGUCGAACCAUAGGGAAUUUAAAAAGUAACAGUCAAUUUGUUAAACAAAGAAAAUUAAUGGCGGGAAAAAAAUACUAGGAAUCAAUUUAAAAUUAUGCUAAAGUUACAGGAUCCACUCUCAGUAUUCAAACUAUAAUUUUAAUAUUCUCUCAUUUUUAUAUUUCGCCUCACUUUUACCAGUUAAUUAUUAUAUCAUUUAAUUCUUAACUAACUAUGUGUGUGGAUAAAUAUGGAAUCAAGUACCUAAUGUGUCACAACUAUAUUAAUGUGUUGACAUUAUGUCAAAAUAUCAUACAAAUCCAAAGAAAUCUAUAAAUUAACACGGCAUAAAAAUAACCAUAAAAGAAUAAAAUAAACUUAAAACUCACUUGAGAAAGUAAUUAAUUUAAUAAUUUGAAACCUUGAGCUUCACCAUUUACCUCAACUUAGUAAAAUUAGUCACUCAUAUUGGAAGAAAACAAAACAUUUUUUUAUUUGACAAACUUUUGAAAUAUAUUACACGAAAAUUGAUUACACCAGAAAACAAGAAAAGAAAGAAAGAAAGAUUUCAUCAGCUUCACUUUGUUCUCUCUCGACUUCCCCACUCCGCUCCCUUUCUUCGACUUUUAUAGGCAACAAAAUCUUCCACCUUUGUUUCUUUUAUUCUUAUUUAAUUUAUUAUUAUAUUAUUACUUUUAAUAAUCAAAGGGAUAAGUAAGUGGGUAUUGAUACAAUCAAACUUCUUUAUCUAUUGCUUUCAGCUCUGAUUCCUCCUUAUUCUUAAAAUUUAUCUGGAAAUUAAAAUUAACAUGUUACAAAUUAAUUUAACAUAAAUAUAUUUGGGAAGUGUUAAGAUAAUUUAGGAAUAAUGCGCGCAUUAAUCAACACUGUAAGUGAAAAACUGAUAAUUUUAUCCUUAUUAAAUGUAUACUUUUUAAUGUCGAUUAGGAAGCAUAUCCUCAACUCAUAGAGGGCAUUCAAGUCCUUACUGAAAGUAAAACUAAAGGAAGAUGUGAGAUACAAUCACAACUACAAGUAAAUAUUCUUUUAUUUUACUACUCGUUUAUUGUUGAGUGAUUUCAAUUGCUAUAGGUGACAGUGUGCAAGUGUACAUAAUAAGUAAUAUACUGAUGAGUAUUCAGAUCCUCUCCACAAGGAUUGAUGUUAUCGAAUUUGCUACAGCAAUCUUAAGCUGCUAUAGGUGUCAAUAUGCAAGUGUAUACAAUAAGUAAUAUACUGAUGAGUAUUCAAAUCCUCUCCACAAGAAUUGAUGUUAUCGAAUUUGCUACAGCAAUCUUAACACUGCAAUCUCAAUUUAAAUUAAAAUAAAAUAAUCAAUAAAACUAAUGAACUAACUAAACUAAAAAUACAAAUAACAGAAUGCAACAAGAAAAAUCUCAAACAAACUACUAGGAUGUAAUUAAUGAGAAAGUAGUAGUUGAGUAAUUAAACUCACUUAAUGGUAUUGACAUUUUUUUCAAUUACAGUACCGUUGUUACAGCAUCUACUACAGCACUAGGCAAAAUUCGUCAUGCAUCCCCAGUUGUCGCAUGUUGGAUAUCUUAUACCUAAUGCAACCUAACAGUGACCAAUUAUUACGCUAAUAUUAGAUAUAGCAUUAAACGUUCUAAGUUCUAUUUACCCUACAAGGUGAAUCCCUCAUGCAUCCUCAGUUGUCGCAUGUUGGAUAUCUUUACCUAAUGCAACCUAACAGUGGCCAAUUAUUACGCUAAUAUUAGAUAUAGUAUUAAACGUUCUAGUUCUUUACUAAUUUUAGAUCAAGCAUGGCCCUAUUCAAAUCGAGAUUAAUUAAACUUGGGAAACUCAAUCUAAAACCAAGUAUUGUCUUAAUUUGUUCCACUAAAUCAGACCUUUUUUAGGCUCUUUCUUAGCUAGUAUCCUCUAAAUGGGUGAUCAGCCGAAAUAGGAAAUUGCAAUAAGUAAAAUUAAGACAAAAUGUUAUAGCAAAUACAGAUCAACACACAUAUAUCAGUCAAACAUCCAUUAAGAUUGAUUAUCACUCAACCAUAAUAGAAUUCAGUUCAUGAUUUGCGAUAGGACAAUAAAUAAAAUUGCUUUAGCCAUUAAAUACAUUCCCAAAAAUAAAUAGAAAAUAAGAAAACAACAUAAAGAGUUGAAGUUCGCUUAAUCUUGCGAUAUCUCCUUCUUAUUCUCUGUGAAUCCUCUAUUGCAAACCUCAAAUCUCUCUUAUUUUCUAUUUUUUUUCUUUUGUUUUUCUCUUUUAUUUUUCCUUGAGUGACGGCUCUCUUCUCUUUCUUUCCAUGCGUGCUUCUUUUAUAACUUAGAAUUAUGGUAACCAAAAGCGUGUGGCGCGUAUCCUCCAUUUUUGAAAAUUUUAGAUCACAAUCUUUUAGUUACCGCACGCAAAAUCUAGUCUGUUGUUGCUACAUGAUUGCUACAGAAACGGCUACAUCAUCUUCAAUGUUUCAGACUUGUUUUAAUUCUUUUGUAGCCAAGUUCUUUGUCAUUUAUGCAGGUCUAUUGCAACAACAUUACAUCCCUAAAACUUGAGCUUUUUGGUCACGUACAAUAAUGCACAUAAUCUAAGCACAAAACGAUCUAAAAUAAAAUUAAGUUAUUAAAAAUAAAUUUAAAUGGAUGCUCUUGCAAAAUAUAACUAAAAUGGAACAAAAAUACAUCAUUUACUCUCUAAGUAAUAUUGAUUAAGUUUCAAAGUGUCAUGAUAACUCUCAUUUCAUAGAGUUAUCAUUUAUCUUUUGCAUUAUUGGUUUUAAUGAGGUGAUCACUAUUUGCUUUUUCUUUUCACUGUUUGCUUUUAAAUAAUGGAGCCAUAAGCUUUAUGCAUCAUUUGACAAACACACCACUCUAUUUACAGUUGUGUAUCAUUAUAUAUGUCACCAAGAUCUUUAAAUAUGAACUUUUUAAAAAACCUUACAGAUUGUUCUUGAAGAUUAUUCUAAUGGCAGCUACUUCGAGUAGACAAUUCAAGAAUGUUUGUGUGCUUUCUAGGUUUCACUAUGGGAAAUUCAAAGACUUUAUUCAGGCAGCCAUCGAUCUUGGUCGUGUCAUAGUUGAGAGAAAACUAUACCUUGUAUAUGGAGGAGGUGACGAUAGUUAUCAAAGCUUAUCUCAGAAGCUGUUUUCACUAGAGGAAGCCAAGUGUUAGGCAUCAUCCCACAAACUUUAAAACCCCUGGGAUGCUUACUCGACCAACCAACUAGAAAGGAGAUAGUCGUCCCAAGUAAGCAAGAAAUAAUAUUUAAAAUGUUAAAUCAUGUUGACGCUUUUAUUUUCUUGCCAAGAGAUCUUGCAACUCUAGAGGCGCUAAUUACAUUUGAAUGUUAGACUCAUUUAAACAUUCAUAAAAAAUUCAUAAGUUUGUUAAAUGUUAACAACUUUUAUGAUGGCUUAAUAGCAUUUUUUUAACCAUGCAAUUAAGAAUCAUUUCGUUCCAGUCUUAGUGUAAAAAACAUUUUAUUAAUGCUUUUACUGCUAAUGAGUUACUUGAUCGUUUACAAGUCUACAAACAAGAGUCAAAUUCCAGGACAUUGGCAUUGAAUUGGUUGUUUAAUGAUGGUAGUAACCAUCAUAAGAAAUGUAAAUUAGAUUUAACUCUGUGUUUGUAAAUAUUUUCGUGCAACAAUUGGGUAAUGUCUUCUAAACUCUAAUUCUUUCAUUUAAGACAUUGAGGACAAUGUCUCAUUCAGGUUGGGAAGAGAAUAGUUGACAACUGUGGAAUAUCUCAAUCCUGGUGAUGUUUUUACUAACUUUGGAUAAAUAUGAGUCGAAGAUGGCUGGAUAUAGAGAGUAGUGACUCUAAAAACGCAUCUUCUUAGUAUUUGUGAUGUUUUGUUUGUAAAAAAAAUAAAAAUAAAAAUAAAACUUUUAAGGCAUUUUGUGUGAUCUUUUGAUAUUGGAUGACAUGAUGACUUUUAUAUUUUAGUAUUUGUAUUAUCUUCGACUUUGACUUAUGUUACAUCAUGUUUGCCACUUUGCAUGUUGAUGUUGGUAAUAAGUGUAAAUUCAAAGAUUUGAUAAGUGAAAUUGAUUGAGCUAAUUGGAGGAAUGUACAUGUCACAAUAAAUUCCAAGUGAAUUUUACAACCUAUUAUCUUUGAAGAGUAACCUUGUUUACCUAUACAGCUUCGCAAUUUAUUAUUUUAUACAAGAUGAUCUUUAUAUUUUCCUUAAAGUCAACAAAGAAAAAGAAAAAAAAAGUUUGUGCAGGUGCAUCUGAAAGUCCAUUUAACUCGUUGAUAUUAAAAGAUUGUUUAGAGCCUAAAAGAUAACAGAAAAGCCAUCUUUGAUCUAUUUGAGCCUUUUCCAACGAUCCCAAUUGUGAAAUAUCUAUAGUUAAUCCUUUUGAGCCUAAAAAAAAAUGUUAACUUAUUAUCCCAUCCCAUUCUAAUUUGGAGUAUUAUCCUAUGUUUUAUAUUUUCCAUCACCUAUUCAUGUUUGAGAAAAAUAUGAAUGAUUAUUUUAUUUAGAAAAUCGAUGCCAAAAAAAAGGGCGAUUGAAAAGAAACUAAAUGCGAACAAAAAAAAAAGAGAGAAAAGAAAAGAAGAAGAAGAAGAAGAAGAAGAAGAAAAAUGAAAAAACUUAAAAAGCACUUUGCAAUUUCAAAAAGGUCUUUAUUUUUCUCAACAUAUAUUUUGUUUUUCCCAUUAUCCUUCUUUAUUAAUCAUAUCCCUAGCCUACGUCACAACCUAGUGAAAGUUAUUCUUAAUUUUAGGGAACUAUUAUCUGAACAAGAAGCUGGCAAUAUGGACUAAAAGGUGUGGUGACGCUUAAAAAUGAAAACAAAUUGGUUUGAUUAGUAAUUCAUUUGACUUAAGAUUAUUUUAUUUCUAAGCUAUGGGCGUUAUUCUUUCAUCGUGGCAAGACCGUGUGGUAUUGUUUUAUUAUUCUCUCAAUUUACCACUUCUUGGAGUGACUGUUUUUAGUACGUUUAUUUUCUUUUAAGAGAGUCACUCUUAACCGUGAGAUUUUGGGGUUUGACAUAUCAUUCUUGAAAAAUUGCUUGAUUAAUGUAGCUUUGGCAAUUGAGCAUUUUGCAUGAAUUCAUGUGGGAGUGAUUUUCUUUAAGUCGAAGAUAAUGUUUAUAUUUUUAUUUGAUUGUUGUCAAUAAUUUGAUCAAAGAAGUUAGCAUAACUGCCAAAAAAAAAAGAGAGAGAGAUUUCAAUUUGGGUUUUUACUAGAUUUUUAUCAUUUAAAUUGCUAGUGCCUAGCAAUAAGAUAGUUGGGGAGUGUGAUUGAUACUAAAAACUGAACAUUUAAUAAGGAAUAUUUCGCUUGUUGCUGCAUAAUUCCUUCAAAAACUUUGCAUAACGCGGAUUAUUUACCUCUACUUUACGAAAGGUCUCAAGGAUUUCCUUUUCUUGCUCCUCUUUCUUAGAUUGUUUAAAUCUGCUGGGAAAAUGGUGGAGGAAUGGAAAGAGUCUUAAUUCAAGGUAAGGGGGUACUUACCUAGCCAGAUGGAUCAACUGGCAAUGCCGAGUGGGAAUCGUCUUUCCUUGUUAAUGGAAGAGCCUCAAGGGAGGGAUUGGUCACAGAGUGCGAUGAUGUUGUGGACAAUUUUGAUGGCUUAGCUAAUAAUGGUUCCAACUGUUUUCCGCUCCUAAGAGACAUAGCACUAACAUUCUCCUUUGGAUUAAUUUCUGGUUGAGAAUGUAACUUUCCUGAAGUUCUAGCCUCUAUCCUACUCAUAGAUGUGGCCAAUUGGCCAAUUUGAUUCUCUAAAUGUUGGAGUUGUGUCUGGGUAGUCUGUUGGAACUGCAUAGAGUUAGUAGCGAGAGCUUUUACAAUACCUUCCAAAGACGUAGCUUGAUUUUGAGGAGGUGGAGGUGGCCGAACUUGGUAAGGAUGUUGCACCCAGUGUUGGGGGUAGCUUGGUGGUCGAGACGGUGCCACAUUAGAAAUGCCUUGUUGUUGGUUCUCAUACCUAAAAUUAGGGUGAUCCUUCCACCCUUCAUUGUAAAAAUUAGAGUAGGGAUCAUACCUUUGUCUUGGUUGGCCUAGGAACCCCUCAACUGCGUUGGCCUGCUCAUGUGAACCCUCUUGGAUAGCAGGGCACAUGUCAAUCGCAUGCCCGACCAUAGAACAUACGCCACACGGUCUCAUUUGUUGCCCCAGAGCUAAUUGUUGCACCAAAGAAGUAAGAUUUGAAACUUGUUGUUCUAAAGAAGUAGUACUUACCUCAUUGACUCGCUUAGGUGGCGGCAGUAGAUCAUUCCUGGUGUUGAACUAUUGGGAAUUAGCAGCCAUGUUAGCGAUGAGAUUUCGGGCUGCUUCUGGUGUCUUAUCCACGAGUGCUCCUCCACUAGCGGCAUUAAUCAUACUCAUAUCCAUAGAUAGUAGACCCUCAUAAAAGUAUUGAAUAAGAAGUUGAUCACUUAUCUGAUGGUGGAGGCAACUAGCACAUAGCUUUUUGAAUCGUUCCCAAUAGUCGUAGAGCGACUCUCCAUUAUACUGUUGGAUUCCACAAAUUUCUUUCCGAAUGCUGCCAUCUUUUGAUGCUGGGAAAUAUUUCUACAAAAAUAGCUGACGCAUCUCAUUCCAUGUAGUGACAGUACUAGAGGGGAGAUAGUACAACCAUUCCUUGGCUGAAUCUGCCAAAGAGAAUGGGAAGGCCGUUAGCUUAACUUGCUCAUCAGAAACUCCGGCUGGUUUCAUUGUGGAGCAGACCACAUGGAACUCCUUCAAGUGCUUAUUUGGAUCCUCUCUUACAAGACCAUGAAAAGUAGGAAGAAGAUGAAUCAUCUCAUAUUUGAGUUCAAAGUUUACCUCAGGGUUUGGAUUCUCAAUGUAUAAGGGUUGCUGGUCCAAGUUACGAGCUGCCAACUCUUUGAGUGUUCGGUUGUUAUUCUGAGCCAUUGGUUCGGGUUCUGGGUUGCUCGGCUCUGUCUUCGGGAGUGGAAUGUGGAUGGAAAAAUCUAGUUCUGAAUAUGAUGAGGCUGCUCUAAGUUGUUCGAGUUUCAAUCGAAUGUCCUCUAUGCUCAUGAAAAUCUAAAUAUAGAACAAAAAAUAACUAAUUAAAAUAAAAUAAAUAAAUAAAAUGAGAAAAGAAAUAAAAAUAAAACGAGUGAUAAUAAACAAAUUAGACGCUAAUCCCCGGCAACGGCGCCAAAAAUUUGGUAAUGUCGUUAAGGUGCACUAAAUUUAAAACCUUACCACUAAUAUAAAUAAUUAGUACAGAGCGAGUAAGGAUCGAUCCCACAGAGAUUAUGCUAGUUAUAUUUAUUAUCAACUCUAAAGCAUGAUUUAAAAUAAAAUAAUAGUAGUAAUAAUAAUAUAAAUUAAUCUAACUAAAGAAAAAUGCCAAUUAUAAAUAAAAGGGGGGUUUUAUGAAUUUUUGACUAAAUAGGAAGAAAUAAAAAAAAUUAAAACUACGAACAAGAAUUUAAUAAAAACUCUAAUUAAAGGAGAAACAAUAAUAAUGAUGAAAACUUUAGUUAAAGGAUCAUUCGCCACCACCAAACAUGCAUAUAAUAUAUCAAUUCUAUCAUCAAUUUAUAUUGAAACUAUCAACCGUAGACAACAAUAAGCUUUGUUAGUCUCAAUCUUUCCUUAGUGUGUCGUUAGGCAAAACAAGCUCUUCACCUAAUCUCUAACCAUUAAAUAAUUUAAAACAAGCUCUUUAAAUUUAAGAUAAUGGAAGCAUUAAACAAAGAAAGAUGUUAGGUUGAUCUAGGCAAUAAACACACAAGCUCGGAUUAUUUAACCAAGGUUAUGUUCUCCAAUUGAAAUCAUUGAUUCCAACCUGCUACUAAUGAUUAAAAUAUCAAGACAAUUACGGAUCAAGAAUUUUAAUCUAGCAAUAGAAUUUAUUCAAGUCCUAUCUAAUUGGCCACUCAAAUAAAACAAGAAUAAACCAUGAACAGUAAUUAUAGAAAAACGUAAACAAUCUCAAUUAAAUAAAUUGAAUGAUAGAAAUUAAAAAUUAAUCACGUGACAUGUUCGGGGUUUUGAAUUCACCCUCAACCAAAUAAAAAUCUAGCCUAACAUAAUUGAAUUGGGAAUAAGAGAAUUGACAAAACCAAUCAUGGAGAUUAAUUCAAGCGGCUGCCUUUUUCUUCAAUUCCUUUUCGGUUUCUCCCUUGUUUUUCCUUCUUGCGGCUGCUGGUUCCUCAAAUCCUCUUGGCUGCCGAAAAAAAUCCCCCCGUGUGUUGCUUCCACUUGAUCCUGUCUAUAAUGCUUCAAUUGUGGCUUUUUUUAAAUCCUUGCAUGGAAGAAUUAAAUCCAAAGCCCAAAACCGCCACUUUCAUGCUUUAAUUAAUAAGCCAAUAAUGAUUUGGCCAUGAUUUCCUAAAGCCAAAAAGCUUUAUUCUCUUUCCUUUCACGUGCUGGCCACUUUUGGUUUGCAAUCUUUGUUUUCCAAUUUUGCUUUCAUGUGAUGGCUUGGUUUGUUAAUUGGCUCGGCUUCCUUUUUUACUUCCAUUUUCCAAUUUUAGCUCCAUGUGCAACAUUAAUUUUGCUUGGCCCAUACAAGCUUUAAUUAGGGAAUAUUCUUUAUUUUCUAAUUCCUUCCAAUUCUUGAACUCUUAUGCACUUUUGUCUCUCAAUCUUCAAUCAAAAUUCUUUCCUGAAUGUUCCGAUUUAAUUUUUCUUUAAUUCCAUAAUAUACCUAAAAUAACAAAAUAAAUAAAACUAAGAUAAAAAUUAACACAAUAAAAUAUAAUUUACUAAAUUAAAAAUUAACUAAAAUAACUAGAAUAUUUAAGACCAAAACAAGAAGACGAUGGAGAAAUUAAUAGCAAAAUAUAUGGAAAAUAUGCACUUAUCAAAUUCCCCCACAAUUCUAUCAUCAAUUUAUAUUGAAACUAUCAACCGUAGACAACAAUAAGCUCUGUUAGUCUCAAUCUUUCCUUAGUGUGUCGUUAGGCAAAACAAGCUCUUCACCUAAUCUCUAACCAUUAAAUAAUUUAAAACAAGCUCUUUAAAUUUAAGAUAAUGGAAGCAUUAAACAGAGAAAGAUAUUAGGUUGAUCUAGGCAAUAAACACACAAGCUCGGAUUAUUUAACCAAGGUUAUGUUCUCCAAUUGAAAUCAUUGAUUCCAACAUGCUACUAAUGAUUAAAAUAUCAAGACAAUUACGGAUCAAGAAUUUUAAUCUAGCAAUAGAAUUUAUUCAAGUCCUAUCUAAUUGGCCACUCAAAUAAAACAAGAAUAAACCAUGAACAGUAAUUAUAGAAAAACGUAAACAAUCUCAAUUAAAUAAAUUGAAUGAUAGAAAUUAAAAAUUAAUCAUGUGACAUGUUCGGGGUUUUGAAUUCACCCUCAACCAAAAAAAAAUCUAGCCUAACAUAAUUGAAUUAGAAAUAAGAGAAUUGACAAAACCAAUCACGAAGAUUAAUUCAAGCGGCUGCCUUUUUCUUUAACUCCUUUUCGGUUUCUCCCUUGUUUUUUUUUUCUUUCUUCCGGCUGCUGGUUCCUCAAAUCCUCUUGGCCUUUAUAUAAUGUUACUGACUUGCUUAAUCCUUAUUGGAUUCUAAUUGCAUUAAUCCUUCACAACUUAUCAUAAGUCAAAGUCAUCCACCGACUUACAAAGCCCACUCACCAAGCCCUUUUUAAAUUAUUUCCUUAUUAAACUUUGAAAGCUAGCCACACGUUUGACCACAAAAGCAAAAGGCCAGUUAAUGAUUUCUUCUUUUAAUGCCCAGCACGUGCAUUCCAAAUUGCCAAAUCUUUGCUUUCUAAAUGCAUGCCCACCGUUCAUCCUUUGAAGGGAUUGACUUCCAAUUUUGGUCUUCUUGACUUCCAUUAAUUCUUGGCUGCAUUUUUGUCUUCCAAUUUAAUCUUUAUUCCUUCCCAACUUAAACUUCCCAUGCCUUUUUUUAUCCUUAAUCUUCAAUUAAUUCCCCAUUCAAAAAAAUAAUUCAAUUAAUUAAAAAUAACAAAUAAAAAUAACUGGUAAUUAAAUAAUUAAGGGUAAUAUGUAUAAUUUAAAAAUUAACUAAAAUAACUAGAAUAUUUAAGACCAAAACAAGAAAAAGAUGGAGAAAUUAAUAGCAAAAUAUAUGAAAAAUAUGCACUNNNNNNNNNNNNNNNNNNNNNNNNNNNNNNNNNNNNNNNNNNNNNNNNNNNNNNNNNNNNNNNNNNNNNNNNNNNNNNNNNNNNNNNNNNNNNNNNNNNNNNNNNNNNNNNNNNNNNNNAAAAUAUGCACUUAUCAAAUUCCCCCACACUUACCCUUUGCUUGUCCUCGAGCAAACCUAAAACAAAAAUAAAAAGAAAACCUAAACUAGUUCACUUUCGUAGGAAAUCACGAUUGCAUUUAGCGUAUGCAACAAGCCUUUAAACCCCUAGGCGGCCCCAGUGGACGAGUUAUAGUCUCGUAAGGGCUUCAGCGAUGAUACCCACAAACAUCAUUGCAUUUUUUUUUUUUUUGAAGAACAAAGAACAAAAGAAUUUAAAAUAAAACUAGCCUCAAAGAUUGCAUAAGUCAUAUAGCUCAAAGAAAAUUUCAAAUAUUAUCGAAGUUCUAACUUUAAAUCAAUAGUCAAUCUCAUCUCUCUUUUGAUUCUCACUGUGUGUGUGUGAAUCAAUUCAAUUAAAAUCCAUUUCCAAAAUCUUCAAUAUCAGCAGCCUUUGCCUCGAACAAAGAAAAGAGUAGGUCAAACUAAUCUUAUCAUCUUGAUCUCUAAUUUUUUUUUCUUUUACAGGCAUUUGUGUGCAUUUUCUUUUGAUUUUUUUUUUUUAUAGUCAGGAGCUUUCACUCUACCGCUUAAGGUAGCCUUCUUCUCAUGGUAGAUUAUCCUCUACAAACUGGUGGUACAUAGGCCCAAAUUACUCAAGGAUAGCUUCACUCUUAAGGGUUAUUAUAGGUAGCUAUUUCUGACUAUGGUACUUGUGUAUACUACACUGUAUUGUGGAGAUAAGAAUCAAGACAAACCCGUACAGCAGGAAAAAGACGAAGCAACAAAAACUAAGUUUGAAAUCCACCCCCCCCCCACACACUUAAUUCUUAUAUUGUCCUCAAUGUAAGCCUAAGCUAACAAAAGACAGAAUUAAACAUGGGGAAAUGAGAUGAGACACACAAACAGAAAUAAACAAAAUUCAACAUAAAGUGGCUAAAGUAAAUGAGAAUGAGAGUGAGAAAGAUCAAAUCUGUUAUGGCGUGCUCUCAAAAUCUUUUCUCCAGCCAUUGGGUUGCCUCCCAAUAAGCGCUUGGUUUAUUGUCCUCAGCCUGACAUAGUUCUCAAGUUUCACUCAUCAACGUACGUAGGUUCAUAAAGUGGAGCCUCAUCUGCAUUGAGUGUCUGAAAGUUUUCAUAGUAAGGCUUCAACCUAUGACCAUUAACUUUGAACUCUUUACCUGUCUUUAAGCUCCUGAUCUCAACUGCACCAUGAGGAAAAACAUUAAUAACAACAAAAGGCCCAACCCAUCAAGAACGUAACUUACUAGGAAACAACUUAAGGCAAGAAUGGAAUAGCAAAACUUUCUAUCCAACUUUAAAAUUCUUUCUCAAGAUCUGCUUGUCAUGAAAAGCCUUAGUCUUUUCCUUAUAGAUUCGUGAACUCUCAUAGGCAUCAUUUCAAAUUUCCUCUAAUUCUUGCAAUUGGAGCUUUCUGUGUUGGCCGGCGGCGUCCAGUUCCAUGUUACAUUGUUUCACAGCCUACCAUGCUUUAUGUUCAAGUUCCACUGGAAGAUGACAAGGCUUACCAUAUACCAACCUGUAGGGUGACAUACCAAUAGGAGUUUUGUAUGCGGUCCUAUAUGCCCAAAGUGCAUCAUCAAGCUGUAAGCUCCAGUCCUUUCUAUUUGGAUUAACUAUCUUUUCAAGGAUUGAUUUCACUUCCCUAUUAGACACCUCAACUUGCCCACUAGUUUGGGGAUGGUAAGAUGUAGAUACCUUGUUAGUGAUGUUGUAUUUUCAAAAGAGGGCUUCUACUGACCUGUUACAAAAGUGAGUGUCUCUGUCGCUGAUAAUUGCCUUUGGUGUUCCAAACCUUGUAAAGAUGUUACUCUUUAUAAAAUCUACCACAACCUUAGAAUCGUUAGUUCGGGUGGCUUUUGCUUCUACCCAUUUUGAAACAUAAUCAACCGCAAGAAUAAUAUAGAGAUUACCAAACGAUGAAGGAAAUGGUCCCAUGAAGUCGAUGCCCCAAACAUCAAAAAUCUCAACUAUAAGAAUGGGAGAUUGCGACAUUUGAUUUCUAGGUCCCAAAUUACCUGUUCUCUGAUAACGAUCACAAGAUUUGUAAAACAAAUAUGCGUCCUUAAAUAGUGAUGGCCAAUAAAAACCGCUCACAAGUACCUUAAAGGUUGUUCUCUUUGGUCCAAAAUGUCCUCCACAAGCCAGAGUAUGACAAAAGGUGAGAAUAGAAGAAAAUUCAGUUUCGGUACGCACCUUCUAAUAACUUGAUCAGAACAAUGCUUCCACAAGUAUGGCUCAUCCCACACAUAGCACUUGGCAUCACUCUUGAUCUUGGCCUUUUGUGCACGGGUCAGCUCUUCCGGUACUAUCCUGGUAACCAAGUAAUUGACAAUAUCUGCAUACCAAGGAGUAACUAUACCUACCUGUAAUAACUGCUCAUUCGGAAAGUUUUCAUGCAAUGGAAGUGCAUCUUCGUUACAAGUAAGUCGACUCAAAUGAUUUGCCACCAAAUUCUCAGAACCUCUCUUAUCUAGAAUCUCUAAGUCAAAUUCUUGCAAUAGAAGUAUCCAUCGAAUAAGGCGCGGCUUGGCAUCCUUUUCAGUGAGCAAGUACCUAAUAGCUGCAUGGUCAGAGUAAACGAUUACCUUAGAUCGAAUUAAAUAAGAACGAAAUUUCUCUAAGGCAAAGAUAACUGCUAAAAGUUCUUUCUCGGUAGUGGAGUAGUUAAGUUGUGCAUCAUUCAAUGUACGAGAGGCAUAAUAGAUCACACAAGGAAGCUUGCCCACACGCUGGCCCAACACGGCUCCAACAGCAUAGUCACUGGCAUCGUACAUUAUCUCAACUGGUAAAUCCCACUUUGGUGGUUGAAUCACAGGGGCCGAUGUCAAAACCUCUUUUAACUUCUUAAAAGCUCUUUGGCACUCUUCAUUGAAGUCAAACGUUGCAUCCUUUUGAAGUAAGUUGCAGAGGGGUAAUGCUAUCUUGGAGAAGACCUUGAUAAACCUGUGAUAGAAACCUGCAUGACCAAGAAAAGAACAAACCUCCCUCACACUAGUAGGAGGUGGUAAGGUGCGAAUAAGAUCUAUCUUAGAUUUAUCAACUUCAAUCCCCUUUUCAAAAAUAACAUGGCCUAGUACAAUACCUUGAUUAACCAUAAAAUGACAUUUUUCCCAAUUAAGCACAAGGUUAGUGUCAAUGCAUCAUUUAAGAACAAGUGUAAGGUUAUCUAAACAUCUAUCGAAAGAAUCACCAUAAAUUGUUAAAUCAUCCAUAAAUACCUCAAUGAUGUUCUCCACAUAAUCAUAAAAAAUACUCAUCAUACGUCUUUGGAAAGUGGCAGGAGCGUUACAGAGACCAAACGGCAUGCGUCGGUAAGCAAAUGUUCUAAAGGGGCAUGUGAAAGUCAUUUUCUCUUGGUCUUUCGGAGCGAUAACGAUCUUAUUAUAACCUGAGUAACCAUCAAGAAAACAAUAAUGAGAGUGACCAUUUAACCUUUCAAGCAUUUGAUCAAUGAAUAGCAGAGGAAAAUGAUCCUUGCGAGUGACUGCAUUCAGUUUACGAUAAUUAGUACAGAGCGAGUAAGGAUCGAUCCCACAGAGACUAUGCUAGUUAUAUUUAUUAUCAACUCUAAAGUAAGAUUUAAAAUAAAAUAAUAGUAGUAAUAAUAAUAGUAAUAAUAAUAUAAAUUAAUCUAACUAAAGAAAAAUGCCAAUUAUAAAUAAAAGGGGGGUUUAUGAAUUUUUGACUAAAUAGGAAGAAAUAAAAAAAUUAAANNNNNNNNNNNNNNNNNNNNNNNNNNNNNNNNNNNNNNNNNNNNNNNNNNNNNNNNNNNNNNNNNNNNNNNNNNNNNNNNNNNNNNNNNNNNNNNNNNNNNNNNNNNNNNNNNNNNNNNNNNNNNNNNNNNNNNNNNNNNNNNNNNNNNNNNNNNNNNNNNNNNNNNNNNNNNNNNNNNNNNNNNNNNNNNNNNNNNNNNNNNNNNNNNNNNNNNNNNNNNNNNNNNNNNNNNNNNNNNNNNNNNNNNNNNNNNNNNNNNNNNNNNNNNNNNNNNUACUUAUGAUUAAAAUCUCAAGACAAUUACGGAUCAAGAAUUUUAAUCUAGCACUAGAAUUUAUUCAAGUCCUAUCUAAUUGGCCACUCAAAUAAAACAAGAAUAAACCAUGAACAUUAAUUAUAGAAGAACAUAAACAAUCUCAAUUAAAUAAAUUGAAUGAUAGAAAUUAAAAAUUAAUCAUGUGACAUGUUCGGGGUUUUGAAUUCACUCUCAACCAAAUAAAAAUCUAGCCUAACAUAAUUGAAUUAGGAAUAAGAGAAUUGACAAAAUCAAUCAUGGAGAUUAAUUCAAGUGGCUGCCUUUUUCUUCAAUUCCUUUUCGGUUUCUCCCUUGUUUUUCCUUCUUGCGGCUGCUGGUUCCUCAAAUCCUUUUGGCUGUAAAAAAAAAAAAAAAUCCCCCUGUUUGCUUCCGCUCGAUCCUUUUUAUAAUGCUUCAAUUGUGGCUUUUUUAAAUCCUUACAUGGAAAGAAUUAAAUCCAAAGCCCAAAACCGCCACUUUCAUGCUUCAAUUAAUAAGCCAAUAAUGAUUUGGCCAUGAUUUCCUAAAGCCAAAAGGCUUUAUUCUCUUUCCUUUCACGUGCUGGCCACUUUUGGUUUGCAAUCUUUGUUUUCCAAUUUUGCUUUCAUGUGAUGGCUUGGCUUGUUAAUUGGCUUGGCUUCCUUUUUUACUUCCAUUUUCCAAUUUUAGCUCCAUGUGCAACAUUAAUUUUGCUCGACUCAUACAAGCUUUAAUUAGGGAAUAUUCUUUAUUUUCUAAUUCCUUCCAAUUCUUGAGCUCUUAUGCACUUUUGUCUCUCAAUCUUCAAUCAAAAUUCUUUCAUGAAUGCUCCGAUUUAAUUUCUCUUUAAUUCCAUAAUAUACCUAAAAUAACAAAAUAAAUAAAACUAAGAUAAAAAUUAACACAAUAAAAUAUAAUUUACUAAAUUAAAAAUUAACUAAAAUAACUAGAAUAUUUAAGACCAAAACAAGAAGAAGAUGGAGAAAUUAAUAGCAAAAUAUGUGGAAAAUAUGCACUUAUCACUAUGUAAUAGAUAAAUAAUAAUAAAUUAUAUGAUAAUAAAAUAAAAGGAUCGUGUCAAGUUUGUUGCCUAUAAAAGGGAAGGAGAGGAAGAAUGAAGGAGUGCAGAGAAGAGGAGAAGGGAGCUGAGGCUGAGGUUUUGAAAAAUUUCUUCUUCUGUGUAGUUCAUUCUCUUAUAAUAUAUUUCAGAAAUUUAUUAAAUAAAAUGAGUGUUUUGUUUUUCAAUGAGUGGCUAAUUUUCUAAGUUAAGGUGAAAGGUGAAGCUCAAGAAUUCAAAUUAUUGAAUUAAUUACUUUUCAAGUGAGUCUUAAAGAUUAUUUUAUUUAUUGUACAUUUCUUCCUCACCGGUUUAUGUUCUAUCAUGUUAAUUUAUAGAUCUAAAUCUCCUUAAAUUUAUAUGGUAUUUUGUCAUAAUGUCAACACUCUAAUAUAGUUGUGGCACAUUAAGUACUUGGCCCCAUAUUUAUCUACAGUAGUUAUUAGUUACGAAAAAUGAAAAAGUAAGCUAACAAUAGAAGAUGCCACGUCGAAUACAAGAAAGGCGAUCAAGUUAUGAUCAAACUCCUACCCCAAUAAUUCAAGACAUUGCGGAAAGUGCACAAAAGGUUAGUAAAGUAAUAUGAAAGACCUUCCUGAUUGUCCAACGAGUGGGCAACAUCCCAUACCAACUUCGACUUCCGCCAGGACUCAAAAUUCAUUUGGUCUUCCAUGUGAGUGUACUCAAGCCAUACCAUGAGGAUAUGAAAGACCCAUGCAAUGGUGAGUCAGGACGAGCCCCAACGGCCAUUGUCACUACUUUCAACAAAGAUUUAGAAUGCAUCCUUGUCGAUCGAGCCAUCCAAAGAAGGGGCGUACUCCUCAACAGUGAAGCUAGCUGGGAACGCAAAAAAAGAUCAAUGGCAAUUUGCGAAGCGCAUCUAAAAGUACAAGCACGAGAACACAAUGAGGAUGCCGUGAGGAUAGGUAGGGGACGAUGUUAUGGGCCGUUCAAAUUUACCACCAAAGGAGGCUAAAUUCGCGUGCCAAGAUGCACUCAAUAAAAGACCACCCGAAGGUGAGGUAUGGUUAGUAACCAAGGUGCGCCCAGCAAUAGGCCGCCUAAUGCAUUAGUGACCCGUGGUGCGCUCAGCAGUUGACAACCCAAAUUCACUAGCCAAAGUGAGCAAGCCCGGCCCGAUUCUAGAAAUCUCUACAACAAACUAGCACUCGUAAAUAUCUAGAUAAUUCUACACUUGUGUAUUCUAGAACUUAGUAGAUAAUUAGGCAUGUUGCACAAGUUGCAUAGAACUCUUUAGAUCUAGGCAAGCCUCCUUAUAAAUAGGACAUGGCACCCACCAUUUUGCUCAAAACCACACUACACAUACAACACACCACGCACCAAGCAACUCAAUCAUUCUUGUAAAGCUAUCUUGUAUUCUCUCUUGGGAGUAAUAAAAUUCUCUUUGGUUACAUUGCUCUCUCUUCUCUCCAUCUUUCUCGUAAGCAUCUUUACUUAGUUAGUUUAAGAAAUUCGAUAAACUUACUUAGCAACAUUUGUGCUCAAAGUUGUUUAAAUACCGUAUGGAUUGCUGCACAAAGUAAUCAUCUCAUGACAGUAUGUUUUAAUUUUUUAAUCUUAGCCUACCUUAAAAGAAUGUUUUGGGAAAAGUAGUUGGAUUCUGAUAAAACCCACUCGACAACAUUCUUGCAUGUGGGAGUCUGAGAAUAUUUUGUAUCUUUCUUCUGAUCCUUCCAUAUAUGCUAUUCAACUAUUCUUGUUGAUAUUUUAAAGCUGAUUUUAAAGUUGACUAAAUCAAUCCUGUAAGUAUUAAAAAAGUGGACGCAGAACACACAAAUACUCGUGCACGAACUACUCUUUUAAAUUGCUGUCUUAUUUGCAUUAAUGUAUUGUAGAAAAUUUUACAGAGAAUUAAAUGCUGAGCCUCAGAGUCUAGAACCAAUGCUGAGCAGUAGUUCCCAAUCAAAACCAUAUUUGACUCACCUUGCAUAGUUGGUUCUUUGCGUUGGUCUUGACAAAGGUGAAUGAUAAAUACACCUGCCACAUGGACAUGGUUGGUAGCAUUAGGGUUGCCUUGGUGUAUGUUCUACCCGUCUCUCUCUCUCCCCCUCCCUCUUGACGAUGAGGAAACAUGGAAGAUUGAUAUGCUAUAGAGAAGCAAAGUUCCUGAAUAAUAAAAAACUACAGUUAUAAGAUUUUUUUAUAGUAAUCCUAAAUAUUAAGAAUUUAUUAAAAUAAGAAAAUUCAAAAUAUUAUUUUAUGAGAAAAUUCUCCUAGUCUUGAUAAAGAAAACAAAAUAAAUGGCUCCCAAAUCCGAUAUCUAAAGGAAAAAAAUUCAAAAUAUUAUUUUAUGAGAAAAUUCUCCUAGUCUUGAUAAAAAAAAAAAAAAAAAAAAAAAAAAAAAAAAAAAAAAAAAAAAAAAAAAAAAAAAAAAAAAAAAAAAAAAAAAAAAAAAAGAGAACAAAAUCAUGACAGCAAUAGGAAAAUAAUUUAAAAUUUUUAAUUGAUUAGGAAAGAAACGGAAUUUCCAACUAGAUCAUGGGGAAGAAUAGCUGUAAUGAUUUUGGGUUUACUUCAUCUUGUCAAAAGUUUUGAAACAAUAUAUUAUACGUCCAAAAUCGACACCUAUAGUCAAGUUAUGACCUCUAGAUGAUACUCUACUUUUUUUGCGACCAUCAUACAUCACCUUUUUAUUUUUAUUUUUUUUAGUGUCUGUUUCUUUUUCUUUUGUUUUGAUUGUGAUUGUUGACAAGAAACACAAAGUUUGAGUCGCCUAAGCUCAUAAUUAGAUAUUGGCUGUUUGGUGAGACAGCUUCAAUUGCACCUGGUCAAACAAUCAUCAUAUGGCAUGUAUUAGAAUGUAAUGUGCUUGCAGCUCGUUGCCAAAUUGAAAUGUUAGGGAAAUUAAUUUUACAUUUGUUCUUCAGAUUUUACGUUCAUUUACCUUUGGCGUGUAUAAAAGGUGAGUUUGAUUACUAGCAAGAUUGCUGUACUGUAGAUCCGAUUUUUGGCAAUUUGACGAUUCAAUACGUGCUAAACUUUUUGGACACGGCAGCGCAUGUAAAGAAUCAUCGGUGUUCAUGAACUGAUAAUUUCGAUACAGCUGAGCUACAUGGCACCAGUAACCGUAGGAAGCUUUUCAAGCUCUUUUGUGGCUUUGUAGCUUUGGUGUUGGGGCAUUAUGCUUUCAUGUUUAGAAUCCUUUUUCUAUGCGCAGGAUUGUUGUCUGCACAACGCUUUACCCUUUUGAACGAUUGGCCAUUCUUUUGGGAAAAAAAAAACGAUGUAGAUAUUCUCUGCUUUUGCACUUUGUUUAGAGAUAUGGGAUUAAAGCAUCAAAUCGCAGUAAUUUGUGUUUUUAAAGUUUCAGUUACUGCAACAUAAUGGAACAAUCUAAUUAUGUACCAUCACUUAAACGACAAUGGCUUGGUGCUACUUACUUCGACAAUGGCUUGGUGCUACUUAUGUAACUUGAAAUACUUCUACAGGAUCUUGUAACGUUAUAAUUUCACAUUCUCAUGAUAUAAAGUUUCAUAUGCAACAUGUUUAGUAAACACCUACUGUUGUAGCUUAAAAAUAAACAUCUAGUCACAGUAAUUUGUGUUUUUCAAGUUUUAAUUACAGCAAGAUAAUGAAAUAGCCUAAUUAUGCACCAACACAGAAGUGACAAUGACAAUGGCUUGAUGCUACAUAUAUACUAUGAAAUACUUUUACACAAUCUUUUAAUUUUCUUAUUUCACAUUCUCAUGAUAUAAAGUUUAAUUAAAUUUUUAUUAUUUUUAUCACAAUUAUUACUUAAAAAUCAUAUUUAUUACAUACUAUUAAUUUUUAAACCUUCUUUACAGCAAAUGUAAUUUAAAAAUUAUAAAAACCCCAAUACCAUAGAGAGUCUUAUUUAAGUUUCACAUUCACAUUACAAGUCCAUACAUAACAUGAGGACCAACGGGAACUUUCAUUAGCAAUAGUAACCAAUAAUAACCUUUCACAGUAUACAUAAUACAAAGUGCUUGCCACACAAGAAGGCCAUCAAGACAUUGGCAAAACAAAUUUAUUUCAUCCUGGCCAGGUGACAAUGCAGCUCAUUAUCCCCAAGUAGCUUCCACUUUUGCAAUCCACUUGAAAGGUUCAAGCGAAUACAAAUUCUAAAUAAAUGACCACAAAGACUAACGAUUAAUAAUACAUUUUCCGUCGACCCUGACACAUGGCAGAAUUAAGUUAAGACUGACGUGCAUGAAAUAAACUAUAUACAGAUUCUAUUCCAAGAACACAAGACGGAACAAAUUCUUCCUUGAUUCCCCUCCCCACCCUUAUUUUCAAUUUCAUUUGUAAUCACUUUGAAUUCCAAGAGAAUAAACAGAGACUUACUUCUUCCCCUGGCAAUGCUGCCGUUGACACCUAAUAGUCAGUGAGGCAAAGCCGAUGUCUCUCCAUCCAGUUGGGUCACUCUGCAGAAGGGAUAUAUAUUUACCGACUAUGCUGGCACAUCGCACAGGCAGUGGCAGAAUUGACAUUCGCAUAUGUGCACUGGUCACAGUACCAGUGACUGGAAUCAUCAAUGUUUUUAUUGGACCCACUUGAUCUGGAUGUCGAACCCUUAUUCUUCCCACUUCUUCCCCUACUUGUACCUCCCAAGCUCUUUGAGCUCCCUGUCCUGCUACAGGUAGCGUGCGUAUCUACAUCUGACAGACCAUUUUCAAGAGCUCGGACCAAAUUCUCAAAGUAAUUCCUUGUCACACUGUUGUCAUAGGAAUCACAUCAUUAUUCUAUUAACAUAACAAUUUUCCAAAUCUGCUUCUAUGCAAAUAAAAAAGAUUGACAAUUGCUUGUGUGCUAUUUUUUUUUUUUUUUUUUCCCUAUAGGAUGUGUGGUGACCAGAUAAUAUGAAAAGGAAUUGUUUGAUAUGCAAACACAAAUUGGGUCACUCACAUGCUCCAAAAAAAGAAGGGUGGGGAAGAUGUCUAAUGCUAAUAACUGAUAAGCUGAGUUUUGUAAUAUCUGGGAAGAAAAGGAAGCAGCAGAUAAAUUUUCCCAACACCAAUUACCAAACUGGCUGUGUUAUUAUUUCAAGAUAAAGAUAUUGCAAUGACAUCAAGUUGUGGCAAUUAGUAUACAAACUACUCAUAUAAAAUGGUAUUCAAUUAGUACAAACCUUGUCAAUCCAGCAAGUUUUGUUCUGAAUUCAUUAAAAUCUUUUGAGGGGCCAUCUGCAUUAAGGUAAAUUUGAAGCUCCUUCUCUGCACAUUGAUGCAGUCUUUCCAACCCAGACUCAGCUUCACCUACAGGUACAGUUGUAAUUAGAACAAACCAAACAUAAGCAAAAUACCAGCACGGAAAUGGAGGAUCUGGCAUACCUUGCAAAUACUCAAAGAACUGUCUCUUAGCAUGUUCAUGGUCCGGCAAAUAAUAUCCAUACGCAUAUGUCCACUUUAGAACCCGCCUACAUUCAACUAUCUACAAAAAAGAAAAAAGAAGAUAUCAUAUGAUAUAAGAAUGCAGGAUGUUUUAUAGUCAUAAAAGACUAUCAGCUAUCGAUAUACAUAAAACCCAAAGUCAGAUAUUUACCUGUAGCCAGGCUUCUGUGAUGAACUUGAGCUGUGACUCGGGUUGGCACUGUACAUCGCUUAGCUUCUCAAGCUAAAACAACACAGUCAUCAAUACUCCAUAGUUUGCCAAAAAAAAAUAUAAUAAUUCAUCAAACACAGUUGAUGGAUACUUCACUCAGAAACACAUUCUUGAUGGUCGUAGUGUUCAGCUAGGGGUGGGCUAAAAUCCAUAAACCAUAACCCAACCCAAACCACAUGGACUGGUUUGGGUUGGAUUUGGUUAAAAUAUUUCAGGACAACUUUUGUUUAGAUUGGGUCGGGUCGAACCAUCCUGCUCAAACCAUAAUAAUUCCCUUUUCAAUACUAUGCGCUAUAUUACCCUUUCGAUCUUAGCAUUUUUUUUUUUUAAUUUAGUUUUUCCACAUGUGAGAACAUCACCGUCUACAUUCUAUUUGUGCAAAUAUCAAGUAUAUAAAUCUGAUUUGAAAACUCAUCAGAGAGUUAAAUUUGUACAAUUUUUAUUUUUAUUUUUAAUUGCAAAAGACUAUGCUUCCCCCCCAAAAAAAAAAAUCUUAGUAUUCAUCAUCUCGUAUUCAUUUAAUUAUCCAUCAUUUUGAGGAACAUUGAUGUCAUCCAAUGAUACUGGAUAAAAUUCAGCUAAAAACCUACAUAAGGUCCUGUUUGGGAUUGAGGUAUCGUACCUUUUAAGCUACAACUGUUGUAAAAAAAAAAGUUGUAAUUACGAAACAAAAAUUAAUAAUAUAGUAAAUAUAAAUUUUAAAUAAUAAUUUUGACAAAAUUAUUAAAGAUAUAAUAGAUUUUUUAUUAUACAAGUGAAAAAUCAUAUCAACAUAGCUUCCAAACUACAACAGCUAAUGUUUACCAAACACUUUAGUGCUAUAGCUCUGUCCAACCUCAAUCCCAAACGCACCCUAAGUAAAAGACCCAAAUGCCCAAGUGGAAAUUUUGAGCUAAAAAAUCACAGCUGCAAUGAGAAAAGCUGUAAAUUUUAUCAAAAACACUUCAAGAUAGAUUCUUCACUUGAGAAUGCUCCAAGUUAGGUGUCUCUAAUGCUUGUUCUAGAGGAUUUUAAGAGAUUGACAGCACAAUUUUUUUAGCUUUAUUGUUCUUUAGGUGGGCUGUGAAGCAUAAUGAUUAAAAUACAGCACUGAGUGUUACAGUGCUUCAACUGAAUCGUUCAGUAAAAUUAAGCAAUUUAAAUUGAUUUGGGACUUAGUGAGUGAAAUGAAGCAAAAAUGGUUAGCAAAUAACAUUAGCUUUGGUUUCGAGGAGAUAUGUCAAAGGUAGAAGGGUUGAUGAAGCAAUAGAUACUUUUGAGAAAAUAGAGAAGUUUGAAUUAAAGAUCAAAAUGAAAGCGAGAACAUUUGAUCAGGAUAUUAAGUAUAUGAUUGGCUUUGGUGUUUUUAAUAUUUAAUUAAAGGGCACUUUCGUAUUUUUUUAUCGUGUUGUAAAAGUAACGACAAUAUUGAGCAUGUAGACUCUAACAGGGGAGAUCCUUAUUGACUAAUCAUAUAACUUCUGAAUUGUGUUAGUUUCUUAAACUCGACAGGUAUGCUAAAUUACUUUGAAAAAUGAUAAUCUACUUUAAUUAUGAUUUAUGACAGGUGAGUUUGUGAAAUCCCAAGGAAUUUAGCCAAAAUGCAAACCAAACCCAAACUAAAUUUAAUGGGUUGGGUUGGCGGGUUUCAAAGAAAUUGGGAUGAGGUGGUUUUGCUUGAAACCCAAACCCUUUUUUCAGUUUGAUUUGGGUCCAUACUAUGCCCAUGACUACGAUUAGCUAAGCUCAUCAAACGCCUUCCGACACUUUAAUGAAACCCACACUAGUCGUAUGGCAAUGCAUCAAACUAUGCGGACAUGACAAAUAGGAAAAAAUUGACAAUAAGAAGUUUGACUUACAUGAACAGUCUGCAUUUGCUGUAGGUCUGCCAAUGCUUUUUGCCUAGACUGCAAAAGGAAACAACCAAUUAGACUGCAAUGUGACAUUGUUUAAAUUUUCAUGUCAGUGUAUUAGCUAUGCAGGUGUAGGAUUUUAUAUUCUCUGAAGCACAAAAACAUUAGUAAUCAAAUGAGUUGGAAAGAAGUAACAAAACUAUUUGAUUAGUUCUUGUCUAUUAUGCUUCUGAUAAGAAAUUACAACUAUGAUAUAGCUAAUUUACUUUUUAUAUAAACCAAUGUACAUGCCUAUACAGAUUCCGACAUUUAUCCACAAACAAGCCACUUCCCAUAGACCGUGCAAGCACUUUAUUUAGCAUUUCUAUCUUCAAUGAUUCCUUUAUUUUUAGAUGCUACUUUUCUAUUUUAGCCUCAAAGAGAUUAUUAUCUAGAAACCAAUGCCUAUAACUAACGAUCCAGUUAAAUCCAUCAAAUAACAUAAUACCAAUCCCAUGAACAGCCCUCAACACAAAAUCAGUUUGAAACCAAACUAGGAAAAGCUUUGAACAAGGAAUUUAGCAUCUAACAGUUAUGAAAUGAAGCAGUAUAGGAAUCAACUAUAAAGAUGGGUGUUUCAAAAAAAUUUUCGUNNNNNNNNNNNNNNNNNNNNNNNNNNNNNNNNNNNNNNNNNNNNNNNNNNNNNNNNNNNNNNNNNNNNNNNNNNNNNNNNNNNNNNNNNNNNNNNNNNNNNNNNNNNNNNNNNNNNNNNNNNNNNNNNNNNNNNNNNNNNNNNNNNNNNNNNNNNNNNNNNNNNNNNNNNNNNNNNNNNNNNNNNNNNNNNNNNNNNNNNNNNNNNNNNNNNNNNNNNNNNNNNNNNNNNNNNNNNNNNNNNNNNNNNNNNNNNNNNNNNNNNNNNNNNNNNNNNNNNNNNNNNNNNNNNNNNNNNNNNNNNNNNNNNNNNNNNNNNNNNNNNNNNNNNNNNNNNNNNNNNNNNNNNNNNNNNNNNNNNNNNNNNNNNNNNNNNNNNNNNNNNNNNNNNNNNNNNNNNNNNNNNNNNNNNNNNNNNNNNNNNNNNNNNNNNNNNNNNNNNNNNNNNNNNNNNNNNNNNNNNNNNNNNNNNNNNNNNNNNNNNNNNNNNNNNNNNNNNNNNNNNNNNNNNNNNNNNNNNNNNNNNNNNNNNNNNNNNNNNNNNNNNNNNNNNNNNNNNNNNNNNNNNNNNNNNNNNNNNNNNNNNNNNNNNNNNNNNNNNNNNNNNNNNNNNNNNNNNNNNNAUCAUAUUAUUAGGCAGUAAAAAAUUUUAUAUUGCAAUCCAGUCUAACAUCAUGAUCAACAUAAACUAGAAGGAUUUUAGUGUUCUGAGAGCAAGUUUUUUGUCACUGGAAAACACAAGAUGUAUCAUACUACAAUCCCACAAACUUGAACAUACCGAUUGGUUUGUCGCCCAUCGUUCAUAAUAGUGAGUAUAUCUCUCCAGAGAGUUUUUCGCCAUCUCUCUUCGCUUUUCAGACUCAUCAUACUGUAAGCAACAACAUUCAUCAAAUUUAUAGGGGUGACCAGUUAGUCAAUAACAAGACAAAGAAAUGUGAAAGAGCUGGGGAGGAAAGAAGGGGGAGGGGAAGAAAACUGAAGCAGAGUAUCAUACAACUCCCUCUUGUUUUGCUGUCUCAUAGCGGUUACAUGCGUAGAAACCACCUGUCCUCUCACCAUGAUCUGACCAUUGACCAAGGCAGAGCCUGCAUCCAAAUAUAGUCAUGUAACUAGGACUUUUUAAGAUGGUGUAAUUUUGAGCAGUACAUAGAGGUAUAACCCAUUUAUCAUUCUAAGGAAGUUCACUAAGUUUACUUUCCAUGUUCUAGUGUUCAAGGCGAAAAACACAUAAUUGAAUAAGGAUUAGAGUUCAAAGUAUUGUCUAAGACAAACAUACAAGCUUACCAGCAAAAUUCGAAUUUACACGGAGGUGUGCAUGUCAUAUGCAUACAGCCUUGGUUUUUCUCAAUUGGUCGCUUGCACCUUGGACAAGGCUUGGAAUUAGCCAGUAUCCUGAAAACACAGAUAUAUAACAGUUCAGAUGAGGAAUUACAAGACAGUUAAUAAUAAAAUAACAUAAAAAUAUAUAUACUUCCAUGCAAAAUCUUCAUUUAAUGUAGCCAAAAACAUAAAUAAGACACUCGGCUACCUGAAAGUUGCACAGUGCAACACAUAGGCCCAAAAGACAUGUGCACCAAGAGACAGAGACUAGCAUUUGUUUUCUAAACUUAAAUGACCUAUUUGACUUAUUUUCAAUGAGUCAAGUCAUUAAGUCUAUUUAUUUUUUCAACUUAAUAAAAAUCAAGGUAUUAAGUAAUUAAGCCAAUUGUUUAGCUUUUUGCUUAAUCUACAAAGUUUGAAUGACAUUAUUAAACGAUAUUCUCCAAAAUAUGCUUAUCUAACUAAUUUAUUUUCAUCCUUACCUAAAUAAAACUUACUAAUUAGCAUAACCAUUGAUCCCCAUAACUUGUGAUAGCAAUAGAUUAUUAUUAUUUUAAUCUUUUUCUAUUCUCCAAAUUAGCAUUAUUUAUUAUUACAAUUUAUUUAUGAGUAUUUUUCAUAUAAUACAUCACAAACUACAAUAAAAUUGAUUAACAUGUUCUAAUUUAGAAAGUUAAAGAGCUGUAUUCACUUGAACAUGGUUUAUGCUAUGAUAAAAUAUUAUCUUAUUUAUGUUCCUUAAGAUGUUUAUUAUUUAUCUAAUAUUUAAAAUUGGUAUGGGCACAAAUGUAAAAGUACUGGUUUUUAGACUUUUUAAGUUUAAAAAAGCAAACAAACUAACUUACUAUUACAACCUAACUUACUAUCAGAUAUUCAGACAAAAAUACAAACAUAUCAUUCAAAUUCAGACAUUUAGCUCUGUUUUCACAAUUCAAACUAAUUUAUGUCUAUUCAGAUUUCAAAUAGAAAACAAAUGACACCUAGCCCUUGUUCUGGAUAUAUAUUAAGCCAGAAGUUGUGUAACCACAAAUAGACACAUCAAAAACAAGAAUGAUCACACAUAGAAACUAUGGGUGCAUUUGGUACUGUUUUUUAAUUGGUGUUUUCUAUCCUAGUUUUAGAGUAACGAAUAUGAUACUUUUGAUGUGAUGUUUUUAAAAGUUAAAAUGAAAAUAAAACAAUGAAAAUAUGUUUGGUGAAAUUUUUUAUGAAAAAAGUGUUUCAAUAUAUUAUGCAAUACAUAGUAUUUAUUUAUUUAAAUUAUAUUUAAUUACUAUAAUUUCAUUUAAAAUAAAAUACAAACAAGCUGGUAAAAUUAUAAAAAUAGCAAUAAUCAGCAUAUCAAAAAAUAGUACUAUGUUCUAAACAUCAAUUAAAGUAAUCAAUUCUUAUUAGGUAAAAGUUGAAGCAAAAAAGAUCCACAUUUUUUCUAUUUUUAUGUCAAAAAAAUUAUUCAAAAAUUUAACAAAUAUUAAAAAAAAAAAAGAAAGUUGCAUGGAGUUGGCUUUCUGCAAAUCACAAAAGCGAGAUGAUCAAUAAGUUGGUAAAGCUCAAAUGUAAAAGUGUAGGUAGGUGGGCCUAGGUGCUAGACAAGUUCUGACACAUGGCUUUUUUUUUUCAAUAUUAACUUUUUGUUGUUCUCUUAAAGCCGAGAACAAAGUGGAGAACAUCAAUAUGAUGUUCUCUACUUUUCUUGCUAAAAGUUAAGAAUGAAAAUAUUUUGUUCAAUAAAUUUUCUAAUUACCGUUAAAAAAACAUGUCAACCAAAUGUAUUCUUUUGUUCUUUAUUUUUUGGAAAAUGCAAAACACUCAACGAAAGACAGUACCAAAAAUGCCCUAUGAUUCUUACUCUUUUCACAUCCAGGUGAAGGGAAUUUACUCAGAGAGUACAUCCUUGUCUGAGUGCCUUAAAAUUUCACUUUUUCAUUAUUUUUUGGCACACCACAACCAUAUUUACACAUACCAUCAUUAUUUUGAUAUCUCAUUUACAUGAUAGUAUAAUAUAUAUAGACCAGUAAUAAUAUAAUUCAUACCCAAAAAAUUAAUACUUAAGCAUCCAGCAUAUUUGGUCAACAUCUUGGACCAAUUCAAUCCCCGUAAACUUACAACAAGGUUCCAAGCAUGCAGCAAAGGGAUAUGCUGUGUAGAACUAAUCAUGGACCAAGUAGUCCACCAAGCCUAAUAGGCCAACAGAUGCCCGUAGGGAAGGCAACUAAUAGCGGACCAAUUACUUUCCAACUAGACCAUGGCUUAAGCAAAAAUGCACAGUAACACAAAGAUCUGUCCUAAUUGCAACCCCGUCCCACCAUUCUGAAAAUACUCAUAAACUAUCUUAAAAUUCAUUAUAGACUGCCUAGUUUCCAGUGUAGGUCUUGCAAUCAGGCUAAAACAUAUAAGUGUUCGGUGAAAUUAUCCAUAUUCUUUAAAAUAUUACAGUUCCAUCAAGCACAAAACACAACAAAAAGAAGCAACCUACUCAGGAUUUAAUAACUCUAGCCUCACUUGUAAAUCAUGGACGGGAAGGCAAUCUACUGAGAUAUUCUAUGGAAUCAUUAGAUUUAAUAACAGACCCAACCUAUAAACUCGUUUAUUUGGAAAGUACUUUAGCAUUAGGAUGUAAUGAAAAGGAAAAUUAUUUAGGUUGGCGUGAACAUAUGGAAACACAUUGUAAAGACAAGCUAGAUAACUAAUUAGUUUAGUCCAUUAAUUUACCCAAUUCAGCUAUCCUCCAUCUUAAACCAAAAAGUACUAAAGAUAUUUGGCAAAGAUGUCAACUAACAUAAGGAAUGUAACAGCAACUGCCUAAGAACACUUAUCACAACCCUGUAACUCUCUGGAAGGCAACAAGAUCACCCAUGAAACCAUGCACACAAUUUCAUGGUAGAAGUGGCAUUAUGAAUAGAAUGCAAUGUUUAAGGCUAUUUUAAAACAUGAACCAUCAUCAGAAUUAUCACAGCUAUAUAUGCUCUAUUAUUAGCAUCUACUUUUACUAUAGUCUUCUUAUUCUUGCUUAAAAAUAGAUGGAAAUUUGUAACUUCAUACAAGAACAAUAAAAUAAGGGAAGGAUAUUUUAAACUUAAGUCAAAUUAUGUCGAUGGCGUAAUUCAUGAGAUAGUUCCUCAUUUUUAGGAGGCCACACUCAGUAUCAGAUUAAAUUCAAACUUGUAUUAAUUUCUAGGCCCAGCUUGGGCUUCAAAAGGUUUGGAAGGUCAGGACGUGAUUAGAAAUUUAGACCAGCAUACUAAGUAUUGACAGGAGGAUUUCAUGGCCAUAAUGUAGCCAAAGAAUCAUGCCCAAUGGUAAGUCAUCUUGUAAUGUGCAUAUACACCACCAAAAAAUUUUUUGCUUGCUAUUAUGUCAAGUACCUAUCCUCCACCAACUAAGCAAUUAGUUUAUCAGUAAUAGUAACUCUAGUGGCUAAGAUCUUGAUCCAUACCAAUUCAUAUUUUCUGACUCAGCACUAUUCUUCAGUACCCACUUGGCUACGGUAUCACAGUCUACAGGACGGUGAGCUUCCUCUGUACACUGCAACAUAAAAUUUAUGUUGAUGCUGUGUGAAGAAAAUUAAAUAUAAAGGUGGCAUCUAGUGCCUGCAUGCAUCAACGGUUAAGAUGACAAGUACUUUCACCGAAAGGAAUUAGAAGGAAACAUAAAUUUCUAGGCUAAUUCAGGAGGACUUACAUUCCAGCAAAAGCUAUAUGAACAGCGGCAAGUAACAUCAUAGUUUCCACUACCAACAACAAAAUCCACAGCAUAAUCACAACCGGGAGCAGGACACCACUUCGUCUGCACAGUAAAGAGAAGUUUGAAGUGUUGAAGAGGAGGAGAUUAGAGGGGGAAAAAGAAAAACGUCUAAAAAUUUUCCUAGUAUCACAUUUACAUGUAUGAAUUGUAAAAGCAUAUGACUGUUAAGAAUUCCAAUGUAGGCAGACGAACUGGAGGUAAAUCAAUUUCACUCAAGUACAGUUAUAAUUCAAACAGGAUCUUAAUAGGAGAGUAACAAUGAUAUGCUCCAAAAUUGUUGUGAUGCGUACAAUCAUAAAGAAUAUCAUUCUAAAGCAUUUGAAAUAUAAUUAUUCAUAGAAGAAAAUUUCAAUGUGCUGGUUUAUAAAUCUUCAGGACAAUGAACAUAAAGAAAUAGAGUUAGCAAAGGCCACCUCAGUCCGCCGACUCUUUAGACUCGAAUAGAACCCAGACAAAUUAGUGAUACAUUGAAGUCAUCAGCUUGUACAUCUUCCACAAGUAAAAUAAAAGAAUCUCAUACAGCCCUUAUAUACAAUAGACAGAGACUCCUGUGAAUUUUAAAAAAAUUUCAUGGUUCAUUUGUAGACGCGACUGACAGACUAAGGCUAAAACACACAAGUGGUACAAGCAUACAGGAACAGAAAAGAUCUAUUAGUUUUGUCAAAAGUCAAGAAUUUUGUUUUUGACUAGCUCAGUAUUUCAGAACAAAAUUUAUGAGCUAUUAAUGCCAUAAAACAAAUUAAGACUCAUGUGAUUCAAUUAAAUAAGGUGGACAAUGUCUUUAUAUUGAAGAAGAUAGCACCAGGAUUUUUAUUCUAUAUAAAUUCUAUCAUAAUAGACCGCUGAUAGAUCCAUCAUUAUUCCAUUUCGAAAUCCAGAACAACAAACAUUCUAAGGACCGAGUCCUUUCUCUUUUAAAUUUCCAAAAGUUAUUCAAUUAGUUUAUUCCGCAAAUAGAAUUUGAAUUGCUCCUUGCAGUACAUGAAAAGUACUUGAAAAUCUAGCUUGCUAAAUCAAUACGAUUUACAGAUAUCGAACUACUCCAGCAAUGAAAUGUACGUAUAUGCCCACUUUCAACCAAAGUAAUAAAUGUCAUCCUUCGGGAAUGAACUUUUCUUUUACCAGAUAAAGGAACUUGCAAGGGUACCAUUUUCAAUCAGGUGGAGGAGAAAAAUGAAUUGAUGCUACUUCCAGAAGUACUAUUACCUUUCUGUUGUCUUCAACAUAAGACCGAAUGAAAUAACGAUUAUACUUUACUUUAUCUUCAUCAGAAGACAAUAAAUAAAUCAUAUCUUGACCGACAGCAGCACCACAAGAAGGAUCAGGACAUCGCAACAUCAAACACCCAGGACCAUCAUUAAUGGCUGUGCUGAUAUACCCUUAAGAGGAAAGACAAAUGACAACAAAAUUACAAACACAUGAAAUUGAAAUGAAAGCAGAAAUGCUCUUAUCAGGGGAAAAAAGAUGUAUUUAUUGAUAGAAUAUGUAUUACUACAUAUAUUAGCAUAAAUCGUAACAGUGCAGAUUGAAAAGUAUUGCUUUGUACACAAUUGAGAAUCAUCUACAUAGAAAUUUUUCUACCUACUGCAGUUGAGUUUUGGAUUUCAUGAAUAUUAGUGGAACUAGCACAAAAUCCAAUGGCCUAUCUUACUUAAGAACCCAACCCAUCGAUUCUUCAAAUUCCGCAAAAUUAUGGAUAAAAUAGAUCAUACAUCCAUCACCUGCUUCGUCCUCAAAGAAGCAAAUUCUAGGCAUGCAACAGCUAUGCUCAACUCUUUUAAUGCUCUCCAACGCAUAUAUGUCAUUUCUACAUUGUAUAAAUAUAUAUUUCUUAAGAACAAGAGAAUCAGCCAAAAACUACAAACAAGUAGACACGCAGUCAACUAGACAACAAAUUACUAGGAAUCGGAAUCCAUCUCUAGAGUCACUUAAGAAUAGACGCCCAACCCAAUUGGAUUAAAACACACAUAACACAAGAAGGGACACUUAAAAAUUAACCCCAAAAACCCCAAAAAAAAAAAUUCCCAGCACAACAAACCUGUCCAGCAUGAACUACAAAAGGGAUGGCCACAAGCAGCAGCAAGCAAUCUAUCACUCGGAUAAUUUUCAAAGCAUAUACCACAAGUCAUCUGUCAAAACAAAAAAAAUGUAAAAACAUAUUAGAAGAAUGUUGUAGAUUCAAUAUGGCACAGAGCAAGUGCAAUUAACAAGUAGUCAACAACCACAGAAUUUAGGACAAGAUACUUAAAUACUCAAAUUAAAACCAGGUCUUGGCUGCUUACUUCUUCACCAUCUGGAAAUUGAACAGCUGGUUUCUCUAACAAGCCAACAGCCUUUCGAACCCUUUCUUCAUCAGCAAACCAUUCAUCAUGUACUUUACUGACACUCCUGUCAAUCCAAAAGUGAGAUUAAUUCUUCGCACAUUGAGAUGCACAUGCUCAAAUGAGAAACGAUACAUAGUCUGAUGGGCAAUUAAAUUGCACAAGUCAUGUUCAUUUGAACAAAGAAAAAAUCUCAUUAGAGAGAACAUUAUGUCUGUCAAUGUAAUAUUUUACCAAUUAUAAAAGCGGAGCAGGAUGCUAGCUGCAACUUUUGAAAUAGAGAGCACGGUAGAUAUCCUCGUUAUAUCCUCCUCUUGACGCUGACGAAUAUCCGCUUCAGUCAAAACGGUGUAGUUUAGCUAAGAUAGAAAAAGAUACACAUUAGUGUAAAGAAUUACAGCAACAUCAAUGGUGCUAAAGGCCUAAAAGACUAAAUGUUUUUUGCGUUCAUUCGUAUCAUUUAAUGUGUGCUUGAAUUGGACAGUAUGAAGCUUAAGAACCUAUCAAAAUAAAUAAGUAAAACUUAAUCAAAAUAUACACUCAGUGUUCUAUUGGGUUAACUAAACAAGGACCAGUUUAAAAAUAUGAGCAGAAAAACUUGUAUGUUAAACCUACAAGCGUGAAUUAAGAUUUAUCGAGUUUGUUUGAAAAGAAUCAGUUUUCACGGUACAAUAAUUGCCUCAUAAAAUUUAAAAUGAUUGCUAGUCUUGUGAUCACCACCUAAUCAAUCUGAGAUUGACCAAGGGUAAUGACCAGUGUUUACAAUAAACUAUGAAAAGAAAACUAAUCUCGCUCGGUGCAUUUUUAAAUUUUGUAUUUUGCAAAAACUUCCCAACCAUCCCUAUCUGAAAAAUCAAACAAUCUCCAUAACAGCAGAGAGUUAAAGAAAUACUUGAUAUUGAAGUUAAAGAAAGACUUGAUAUUGACAUUGAGAAUAGUACUAAUUCACCCAAACCACAAUAAUUUAUGAAACUGACAGAAAUUUACACUACCACAACAAAAUUUACAUCCCAAAUGCACACUUUUACCAUGCAGACAAACCCAAUUGAACAAUAAUGAUAGAACAACAAAGUAAGGGAAUAAAAAGCAAAUAAAAUACUACGACCCAAUUAACUCGAUACCAUACCAGAAAAUUAGCAUAAGCCAAAAGCCAAUCAUAAGAAGUUUCUAUUCUCAUUAAUGCAGGUAAAAUAACACUACAAUUUCCAAAAAGCUACCAAAAAGCCCAAAUUAUUAAAAAACUAAUCAAAUAACAAAAACUUCACCCAAUAUCCAAAACUUGUUAAACAUGAUAAACAGAAGUAAACAAAAUAGCAACAGAAUUAAUCAAUUAACACCAUCAAAGGCAUUAGCAUAAAUGCAGAUAAAAUUACACCUCAAUUUCCAGUUAAUUACCCCAAAAAAAUCCUAACUUCACAAAGAACUAACUCAAAAAAUCAACAGAAUUCAGCUAAUUCACAAAAAAAUACAAAAAUCAGGAACAAAAUUCAGACAAUUCACAUCAUCGUAGGCCAAAAAGCCAAAAAUUGGAACAAAAUUUCAUCAAAUGAUUAUGAAAUCGUAAGAGCCAACGUACCUGAUGGCGAUUAGAGACGAGAUCAUCAGAAUCAUCGGAAUCAUUGUCGAUGAACUCGUAAUCGGCCACAUCAGCAUCGUCGCUGUCGAAUGCAUAGGCAGGUGCCGCAUCGUCAUCGCCGCCGCUAUAGAAAUCGUCUUCCUCCGCCGAUGCGUUCGCGUCUUGCAUAUCGAAUUCGUCCUCCGAUUCCAUAAUUUGGUUAUUCAAUUAUUAGAAAGAACUCAAAACCCUAGGAAUUUGGACAAAUCUCGUGGUUGAAAUGAAUGGGAAACGAUAGAAGGGUAAAAUGGUAAAUUCAAUGAGAGCACAGACAGUUUGGCUGAAACGGAGGAAACGAAAUGAAAGUGAAACGAAGACAGGAGAUUUUGCUUUUGAAGAGAAAGAGGUUUUUGUCUUGUUUUUUUAUUUUGUUGUUUUUUCCUUAUUGGAAGAAACUCGAAUUGAAGGGAAAGGAAAAGGAAAUUAAAAACUUAUUAUUUAUUACUAUUAUUAAAUAAAAACUAAUUAUUAUUAAGGUCUCCUUAAUUAUGUUGUAACUUUUAUACGAUACCAAUAAUGUAAGAAAUAGGUAUUAUAAGAUCUAAUUAAUGGUACAUAUUAUCUCUAUUAAUAAAAAAUUUUAAUUAUUUGAUUAAUAACAAUUAAAAGAAUGAUUUUAAAAUUAAAAAUAAAAAGAGAUAUUAUAAAAUAAUUUUUAUUACAUAAUGCUAAUUAAUUAAUUAAUUAUAACUAUAUUAAAUAAAUUACUAAAAUUAAAAAAUUAUAUAAUUAUAACUAGAUUCACAACAAUCUCACCACCAAUACUGUAAAAAUACAUACAUUACCAUUGAGAAAUGCUUACUACUAUUAGUAUCAAAAUGACAAUUUGUAUGGAACAUUGUUAUUCGUACCCCUAUGGUCUUGAGAAAUUACAUACCAUUACUAGAAUUUUGCACUUUUCUGUCAUAAUGUAGGUAUGCAAUUAUUCUCCAGCAAGGAUUUUCUUUUUAUCAUUACUAUUAUUAAAUAAGAAUAACAAAAUGAACCACUAGACUUUAAACCAAUGGUUAGAACCCAAAACUCACAAUUGUGAGGUUAUGUAUUCGGACCUCUCACAAUAUAUUGUGGGGGUUUAAUUUCUUUCCUCAAUUUGAGUAAAGGUAAUAUUCUCCCUUUCAAAAUGUGAGUAGUGUAGACGUCUCUCGAAUAUUAGAGAGGUUAAAAAUCUUAGCAGUGCUUUAUAAGAAUUGAUGUAAACUAGUCCCAGUAAUAGUCUGAUUUGUAAAUAUUUGUAAUCUUAUGUAAUAUGAGUGGAGGUGGCCAAUAGGUCGAACGGCACGGGGCACACCACGUGUCCGUACAGCACGACACGAGUACGUUUCGGUAGAGUACGCGGCACGGCACGGCACACACGUGGGCUAGACCUGGCUUAGAAUUUUAAGCACGUAGGCCUUAAAAACACGGCACAAUUAGAGAUGGGUCAAAGUACGGCACGCAAAAAAGUACGCAAUGAAUAUGUUUCAUUUUUUAAUGAAAGUAAACUUAAAAUUUCAUGAUUUUAUAAAAAAGUUGAAAUUGAAUCUUUUAAUAUAUUUUAUUAGCUUAAGUUUUUAAAAUUUAUUUAAUUCUUAGUUUCAAAAAAAUUAUAAUUGAUUUAUUUUUAUAAUUUAUUAAAUAAAUAAUUGAUAUCAUGAUUUUAAUAAAUAAAAUUAUAAAUAUCAUGAUUUUAUAAAUAUGUACUAAUAUUAUUAUAAACUAUGAUAUAUGACUACGUAAUUUUAAGUUAACAAUUAAGUUAACUCUUAAAAAAAUUAUUAUUGUUUUUGUUGUUAAGUACUAAAAAAGAAUUCGAAUACCACAAAUUCAAACUUAGUAACUAAUAUUACGUUCUCUUAUUAUUAUUGAAUAUGGACUUGAGUUUUGAAUUUUUGUUUCUAUUAAAUUUGAAUAUAGGCACAUAAAUCCAAAAAAGUAUAUAGGCUUAAAGAAAUAAGACAACUUGGCAUGCACUCUUAAAAAAAUAAAAAAAAUAAAAAAAUAACUUAGUAGGUUUUUUUUCCUAGACACGGCACGAGCACGCGUGGGCUUCCUUUGAUGAGCCUGGACUGGCACGGCAUGGCCCGUUGCCCAUCUCUAAAUAUGAGUUGUACUCUUGAGCUAGAGGGUACAAAUAUGGGCGGUGCUUCAUAAGAAUUGAUGUAAACUAGUCUCUCUUGAGCAAGAAGGUAAAAAUUUGGGCAGUGCUUUAUAAGAAUUGAUGUAAACUAGUCCCAGUAAUUAUCUGAUUUGUAAAUAUUUGUAAUCUUAUGUAAUAUGAGUUGUACUCUUGAACAAUAGUAUCAUGUAAUUAAAAAAAAUAACAAAAUGAGUCACAGACUUGAUUUGAAUAUUAGAGAUGGUAAAAAUCUUAGUGGUGCUUCAUAAGAAUUGAUGUAAACUAGUCCCAAUAAUAGUCUAAUUUGUAAAUAUUUGUAAUCUCAUAUAAUAUGAGUUGUACUCUUGAGCAAUAGUUUCAUGUAAUAAAAAAAAAGAAUAACAAAAUGGGUCACAAAUUUAAUCCAAUGACUAUUUUCGAGCACAUAACUUUUAGAGUACGAACAAAAAAUUUUUAUUGUAUGAAAGAUAAAGAUGUGAAGACAUGAGGGUUGAGAGUUAUUGAAUAAAUUCAAUUACCACUAUUAUGCUUUAAAUCAUUGUGGAAACCCUAACUGUAGGAUUUAAGUAAUGAUGGAAUCUGAAGUUAUGUUGAUCUUGAGAGUGCAAUUGGAGUGCAUUCAAGGUUUUGAGAUGGUUGGUUUGUUAUUUGGAUGAUGUUUUACUGAAAAAUUAUAGAUAUAGUGAUCUUUGGUUAGACAUGGUGAUCUUUGGUUUAUUAAGAGUCAAAAUAUUAUUGUAAAGUGUAACAAAGAUUAAUUUUUAAUGACUGCUUAUUAGUUAUGAAUAAUGAGGGAUAAGGAUGUUGGAUGAUGGCGAAAAAAAAAAAGAAGGUAGAGGGGUGGGUUAAGAUCAAACUAAUUCUUUAAUCCCUAACCUCUUUUAGAAAUUGAACUUUGAUAAUUGAUUAAGUAAAACUACUUAAAAAUCACUCAGUCAAAUAGCUUAGGCGUGUUGGUUAGGCGUGUUGGACGAUGGCCUUUGACGAUGAGCGUAAUGCAUAAGGAUGUUAUUCAUAAGCUCUAAGGGGUGAGGCUUUCAUGAAAUCCUUGUCAGAUGCUACAAAACCUUAGCCUAUAAAAUAAUUUGGAUACUUCGUUAUCCUUUUACUACAGUACGGCCUACAAAAUAAGAAUUUGACCAAUUCUAUCCUCUGCAUUGUAUGGAGAUUAAAUAAUGUUUUCCUUGAAUGAUAGCAUUUGCGAUCCAAUGGGUAUCUUACUUAGCCUUUAAUUAAGCAAUCUAUCUUAAAUGUGCAAGAUUGUGAUAUCGGAAAGUAGUUUGGGCAAGUCUGAACAAGGGUUUGUUGGAAAUAAACUUUCUAAACGAUCUCUUGGGAUAUUGAUUUUUCACAAACCCGUAUCAUAAUGUAUCUAUCUAUCAAAUCGCUUUCCUAGAUCAAUAGAAAAAUAGAAAUUCCUAUUCGAUAGGUUUAAGUAUAAAAUGUUUAUUGUUACUGGGCUUGUAAUCCAAUGGUACUCAUGUCCUCAAUACAGACUGCAGAGUUGAGCUUCAUGGGACUCUUACUCUUUGAACCCAGUGAUAUCCAUGCCCUCGAUACAGCGUUCCAGCUUUAUGGGGCUCUUACCCUUUACGUAAGGAUUUAUAUCUUCUUGAAUAUUGGUGGGAGCAAAUUUAUGAGCAAUUGUUCAGUAGACUUCUAGAUUAUACUACAAAGUAUAAAGUGAAUGUAUCUCUCAUCCCAAUUAAUUCCAGAUUAUAAAAUGAAAAAUGCUAUGUAGGGAAAAAGUUGAGAGAAAGGUGAGAGAAAUUAUGAAGAAAGAAGUAAAGAGAGAGUGGGUGGGUAAUGAGAGAGAGCUAAUUUCUCUUAACUUUCUUUCUAUUUAGCACCACUCUUGUAAAAUAUAUGUAAGUUACAAAGUUUAACAUGUGCAUUCAAUAAAUCAAAAAAUGUAUUAGACUAUUAGAGCCAUCUUAUCUAACACUUUCUCAUGCUUAAAGUGGUGGCUAACUACGAAAGCAUUGCAUUAAAAGUAUGAAUAGAAAGGACAAAUUAUGCAUAUUUUUUUAAAAUAAAUAUUUUAAAAGAUGUCCGUAUUUUCAUUAGAUACGGUUUUGGAUGAUAAAAAUAGUGACACAUAGUUGUUAAUUAAAUUAAUUUCCAUAGUCAUUGAUUAAAUAGUCACACAUAGUUAUUAAUUAAAUUAAUUUCCAUUUAGGGGUAGCUCAAAAAGUAAAAUAUUCAUUUUGGGCUCGAAAUAUUAAAAUAAUUAUCAAAUAAUUUACAUAAGCAUGUACCACCCGCCACCUAGAUUCUUUUAAUCUUUUUAAGAGAUUGGCCAAAACCAAGUACCACCACUUACGUGAUCCAUUUGUGUUCACUUUCCAACAAUCAAUGCACUUAAUAACCAAAUCAAAUUCUUAUCGCUUAUUUAAUCAUCGUGUUAUGUUUGUGUUUAGAGCAGGUUUGCGAACACGUUUAAUUACACAAAAUAAUUGUCUGGUAUGCCGUAUGCGCAUUAUAUCAAUCCGUUUUUUUUCAUGAAUCUCUGUGUGAUCCACAGUUUUAUCAACAUCACUAAACAGCUGUUUUGAUUUCUUAAGGAUGACUAUCUUGUAGUUUGGCGAAAUAGUUCUAGAGAUCUUGUUUUCAGAAAUGACCACAUUACCCCAAACGAAAUACAGUUAAAACAAGAGUCUCCGCGGCCAUUUCAGGCAGUAAAAAUAAAAACUGCAUAAUUUUUAUUUUCAUUGAUAUUUAAAACCUAAAUGAUUUACAUGCCUAAAUAUCAGAGCUAAAAAAAAAAAAAAAAGAGCACGUAUGGAUAAAUCUGGGAUGGUCUCUACAAGAGAAAUACAAUAACGUCUGUAACUUGUUCUGUAAGUGAACUAUGACCUUUUCUACUGUAUGGGUAGCCGAGGCUUUAGACAAAAUGUGGUUGGUUGAGUCUUAUAAGAAUGAAGAGAAGAAUCCCAGUUUACAGCAUUAUUUGUAUGGAGUUGCAACUAGUUCGUAUAAAUCAUCUCAAAAUGUAUUGAGGGAACCGGCCUCAUGAUCUGUACUGCAAUCGCAUUCCUGAAAAUGCAUUUCAAUUUGGAUUAUCAUAUAAAUAACAGGAUCUUUUUCUUUUUUUCUUUUUUAACAACUAAAUUUUGGCCAUGAGAUGUUUAGAUUCUUGAUUCCACAUAAAUCUAUUACUUUCUCAUUAAAGAGAUGAUAAGUAUUUCAAUGGAGCUUCCAUAUUUUUGUUCACUAGAUUAAGAAGUUCCAAUAGCAUGUAGAUACACAUACCAAAUUUAGGCGAAGUUUAAACGGGAAGAAGCGGAGCUUUCUCCUCAUUUACAGCACGAUGACUUGCCUGUGAAAUGUAGUAAAAAGUGAACUUGUCAUUAUUGCAUUAUUACUCAAUCAUACUCUCAGAAAGCUUAGAAGGAGAUAAUAAUAUAUUUCAAUGAGAAACUGUGAUCCAAAGUUCUUACAUCCUCAUUUGCUCCAGCAGCCAUAUCAAUAAAGGACGUAUCCUUUGACCUAGAAAGAUAAAAAGUAAAUCCAUUGUACAUAUAUAAAUUAGCUUUCAUCUUACUCUCAUUCUUUCACAUUUCCCACUUAAAGGGAUCGAUUAUUCUAAAAUCUUAGUAACACAAGGUAAGCAAAACACAUGUUAGGUCAUCUUAAUGGUGCACAGAAAUUGCAAAUAAAACUAGUGCCUACCUCUUAUUUUUUGGACUGUCCACCAAUUCCAAACUGAUAUUUUUUGGUUCAUCCUUCACCUUUGAAAGAGGUGAAAAGAACUGAACAGAAAAAUAAUAUAAGUCAAAAAAUAAGCCAAGUGUCUAACGUAAGAGAUCAAAUAAUGAAUAAAACAAAGAUCCAUAUUGACAUUACCUGAUGCAUAGAUAUAAACACAAUAGAGAUACCAAGAAUAAAAUUCAUAGUCAGAGUAUGACCAAACAGCGCAGCAGAUGCCAGUCCCGUAAAUAUUGUGGCGACAGUUGAUGAGUACUUUUUCAAAAUUGUAUCUGCAAGUAUCAUUACAAAACUUAAUUGAAAAACAUGAUUAGAAAUGAAGAGAAUUUUAUGAAUUUGAGUGAUCUUAAACGGUUGCAAUUCACAAGAGCUGAAAACUACAAAUGAACUGAGGCAAAGCAGACCUAAACAUAUGCUAGACGAGUCAAACAGCAGAUUCUUCCUUUCUGGGGUGCCAAUGUGCUACAAUGGCUCCACCAUGAUUGCAAGAAUCUCUCGCUACUAUUCUAGCAUAACAGUAGAAUCCCCCUCAGAUAAGAUGCCACCAUAAAUUUACUUCUCUCAAAAGUACUAGGAAGUCAACAAUAAUGCUCAGAGCUAAGUCGCUUAACAAAUCAAAUGUAUUCACAUGGGAAACGGAAAGAGAUAAGGGGGGUGGGGGUGCAGGUGUUCAUAUUCUAAAAACUGCUAGCCGAUUAUGUUAGGAUUCAUAUUUCUCUAGAUCUGUCGAGUAUGUUGAAACCGGGGAGAGAGGAUACAGGAGCCAAUCUCAUUUAGCUCCAUAUUUUUAUUGAAACUUGAGUCAUCAGAAACCUUCUGCUUUUCUUUUGUCUUUAUAUGCCCUUAGCAUAGACACCUCUGAGUUCUCAACCACAAAGUAAAAAAAGGUUUCACAGUCUACAGAAAGAAUUAUAUCUGGUUGUCUAUUGCUCAAGACAAACACGUGAAAUUAGAAGUUCAGAAUUAAGGACAAAAAUUAAGCAGCCAAACUUAGAAGAAUUUAAAUGAAGUACCAUUAUAUAAACAGACAUUAUAAGAGACUAAGAAAAUGUAGCAAUAGAGUGCAAUCAGUCACCUGCAUAUUUGAAGAAAAAUGACGACAAAAUUCCUUGGGCUGCGUUGUUGCAUAUCAAAAGCAUGGUCGCUUUUGAAUGUCCUUGCAGGAUAUCAAAGCUACUAGGACCUAAGAGCAUUGAAACAAAAUAAUUAAAACAACAAAUCAACCUAUUAUAUAUGCAAUCAUUUCAGAAAUGGUUACGCUUUGUCCCAGUAAUUUAGGUAGGAAGUUAAUCUUUUAUAGCACAUUAUAUAUAUAUUAAAAAAUAAAAAAAUAAAAAACAGGUUUACAGUCAAAACAAAUAAUGUCCUAAAAUCUAUUGUCACCACAAUUUUAGUACCCAAAAGCUCUACAUACACUGAGACACACUAAUAAAGCAAUGGUAACGAAAUUGGGAUAAAGAGAACUUCUAAGUAAUAUUUAUGUGCUCCAAGCAAGGGCAUAAUUCUAAAAUAACUUAAACUGCAUAUUUGAUGUCCAUACCUUUAAACAUGGCCGUUAUAACAAUGCCUAAGAAGUUGAAUAUGGCACCAUAUCCAUACAGAAACAAGUUCUGCACGACAAAAAGUAAACUUUCUGGUGAGAGUAAAUACAUAUUAUUCAUUUCAAAUUUUUUGAAGUUCACAACAUAAAGAAACAUGGUUUGCUAAAACCUUUCUACAUUAUGUUAGAUAUUUACAAAGGGAUCUUCGAGGAGGCAACUACAGAGUAAUAAAAAAUAAAAGUGCUAGCAAACACUUCUCAUCCGACCUCUUGCACUAAGCAAUGAGCAUGAGACAUCAUAUCAGUACUUUAAACUCACCUGAUGGUAAAUGCUUGUGUCAUAUUGGCUUUUCAAGGCAUACUCAUUGAAAACCGAUGCCAGAGAUGGAACAGUAACCUGCAUUAAUAUUCUAAAGGUAAAUUUUCAUCAUAUCAUGCCGUCUAGAAUAUCUAGCAUAACAGAUAAGUCAAUAUCAAAUAACUCUACAACCUUUUCUAUGCUUAAUAAUCUUAAGCACUUUGUAUACAAUUGAAUAAAAGAUAAAUGUCUACAUUUGUGUAAAAUAGACGAAAACAACACAGCUGAAGAAAAAAAUCCACAGCCUCAGGAGGAAAUGAAAAACAACAUUGAUUUCAUUUUAAUAACAUAAUUUUCCUGUCCCAGCCAUAUAAAUACAUGCUACUUCCCUCCUUGAAGAGCUAGGUCAGAGACAGUGACUAUUACUGCUAUUAAACUAUAUUUGGUAGACAUUCUAAUAGUUGCAAUCAGUACAGAAAGAGUUUGGUCCCAUCCAAAACCUAGAGACAGCACUGUACCUAUCCAGAUGAUCUUGGCCAAAACCAUGGAAUUUUUCUAUCUUAAAUAUAAUUAAUUUUUUUAAGAAGUUAUUCCUUAAGCAUUAGCACUUUUAAUUACAAGUUCUAGUUGCACAUAGCAUGAAAUUCAUUGUUGCUUAAUCGGGAACAUAUAGCACAUAAUUUUGACUGAUGCUGUUCUUAGGCAUACAUUGAAGCCAUGGCAGUACAGCUGACCAUUCUCCCCACAGAUUAAUUCAAAUAGCUAAGUUGAGUCCAAUUUGACUCACGGGACUCACUAGUGCAUGCAGCAAACUUCUGCUCAUUACAUCAAGGAUAUUUUAUGUUCAAUAUUGAAUGAAUGCACUCAACCACAAAGAAAUUAGGAAAUUUAUCAUAUAGAAGCGAAUUAUAGAUCUAAAGCUAAUAGUGACUGUCUUGGAGCACCCAAUCAUUUCAAAGCUGUUGACACUUUUUGAGGAAUAUAUUUGCAAGCAGAGAUAAACUAGCACAAUGAACCCAGGACAUAAAUCUUUAAAUACUUACAAAUAUCAGUGUGUAUAAGUAAGCCCCUGUUGCAACUGGAAGGCCCAAAGCACUUGUACCCUCUGGUAAGGACCGCAACUGAUUCACACUGAUUCCAAUGAGCAAAAGAGCAAGAGCCUCCCACUGUUACCAAAUAAUGAACCCAUUUCACAUUAGCAAAUUGCCAUGAGCAUUCAAGUUAACAAAAACACCUAUACAAACUUUAGUCAAUGUAAACAAUACAAAUACAGAGAAACUUUACAUGCAAACUACCUGAAUUAUAGAAAAUCGCCGUUUCAUUAUUAUCUUUAACAGGAGGGCUAUUACAAAAACCUGCAUAUAUUUGUGAGCAAAUCAAAUGGUAUCAAAGCUUGCUUAUAAGGAAAAGAAACAACAAAAAACUUCUGCAUAGAUUAUUUUGUCCUUCCAUAAGGAAGAGACAGGAGCAGCUCUAAGAAAAUCACAGCUUUCACUACUUAUCACAAACCUAUCAGUGGAAGUUACAUCAACUAACACACCGAAGAAGUCCAGACUCAAACAUCUAAUUGAUCCAGGAAGAUCAACAUAGAGUUCAAACUUCGAUAAACCGUGUCCUCCAUGGAUAUAUUGAGAAACAAUGAAGGACACUGAUUUUUGCAGUUAUAAGUAUAUCACCAGCAGUAAAUGUUUUCAAAACGCAUAAAUCAAGCCCCAAAGGUAUAUCAUUAUUGAUUCAGAGCAAUUGUUAGUAAAUACCUUCAGGUUGCUCAGCAUCUUCACAGUCGCAGGAUUAAAAUAAAGCUGCAAAAUGAGUAAAUAGAUGCUUAAAAUG
rnacentral:lncRNA from 1 species